AAACAACAACUAUUCUAAAUGCUAUGAGUUUGUUACCUCCUGAUGAUUUAAUUGGAGCUGAUAAACCAUUUGCAGAUGCUCGAUUAGGAAGCAUUAAUGGACCACUAAAGAUUGGUGCUUUACGAACUUGGCAAACUUUCUCAUUUGCUGGUAAAAUUUCAUUCUCAAACCUAAUCAAUAGCAAACCGUAAGCUCAAAAUCUACAAAUUUCUCUUCCACUUCUGAUGAUUUAUAAAUCAUUUUCUUAAAUUACAAAAGAUAAGAGAUUAAUCUCACAUGUAUACAGAUGAGCUGUAAAUCAUUUUCUUACUUAUCCUUCAAUUUCACAACCAUAAAAAGGCCAAAGCAAUAUCAGAAGAAACUAUAUUAAAUGAAAUAUGCCACCGACCAAUCAUAAUCAAAUGUUCUGUUGAAUCAACUUAAAGCACAUUGGAACCAAGACUUGUCAGAUUGACACUUCUGUUUUAUUGGAGAGAUAGAGACAAAAAUAGCCUAUAACAGCGGUAUACUUUUAUGACCUCAUAUGGCUUUUCACUAGCCCAACAUUUAGACCAUGUUAUAUUAAAACAUAAUUCAACAACAGAGGCAAAAACACAAGAGAAAAAAAUUAAAUGGCCCAAUUUAUAGAAUUAACUAUUCUCAAAAUCACAGGCAAUAAAAUAGUCCAAAAGGAAAAGACCUACUUCACGUUUGGUAGUUAAAAUCAUAACCAGGGCCUACAGCCAUCAUAUAGCAGAUUGAGUCCCCUCAUAUGUUAUAGGAUAUGUUUUAAACUACAAUUAGAACCAAAUGUUCUACAUGCUUAUGCAACAGCAUCAUCAGGUAACAAUUACUUGGAGGAAAAAAAAAAGGCCCAGAUCACUUUAAAAACCCAUGGAACAAAGACAACUGAAAUGGCCAAGCAAACUUAACUACGAACUGUGACCAACCUUUCUGAGUUACGAGCCCGUUCUGAAGAUGAAUGAUUAAGAACAGCACCAGGUGUGAGUGGCCCACUUUGGGUUUGCCUAGGUUUCACUGUUUUAGCCCUGGUCAAUAGCACAUCCUUUUCUGAAGUUGAUGCCAUAAUAUCAAUGCUUGAUCCAUUUCCUCUCAAACCAACCAUCUCCUGGCAGCCAGCUUCGACUAUAUCACAUUCCGGAUUCUUUCCCUUUCCAUUCAAGCAAUCAAACUGUAAUAAAUCAACAUUCCUUGGUCCUCCAAAUUCAGCCUGAGACACUUCCCUAUUUAAAUUCAACUUUCCCAAACUAGAUUUGCAGUAAGCUGAAGCCUGUCAGCCAACACCAAGAAUCAAUUAACAUAGUUUGCUCUAAAGGAAAAAUCAGAAAGAAAUACAAUUCCAAGUUGUAUAAGUAAAAAAGUAGUAUUUUAACCAUGUCUAGAUAUGUACCACAAACUGCUGGGGCAAAAAAAAAAAAAAAAAUACAAAUACUGACCUUUUGACCAAGGCUUGAUUUCAUUCUUUCAUAGUCACCUUUGCACUUAUGAAUGUCGUCAUCAUCAUGCACCUUAGCAUGUUCAAUUGAAAAAAUGAGUAUAAACUGAGUGAUUGAUAUAACCAACGAAGAAAUUAAUUCUCAUACGUUAUGUCUGCAUUACAAUCUUUAUUAUUAAAGGCUAAAGUUAAAUAUGAGGCCUACCAGAGAUGCUUGCGCUUUCAAAUCCUCAAUAUCGAAAUUCCAGGCACUAACUCCUCUUUGAUACUCACUCUGACAAGCACAAGACAACACCCCAGCAGUAAGAAAACACAAAUGUCCCCAAGUGCACAACUCAACAGUUAAAAAUUUCACAGAUAUGUCAUUUUGAAGAACAGGUAAAUCAGAUAUAAGAUAAAAAUGACUUCUGAUUAAUAAUUCCUAACCUGUGAUAUAGCUUCUUGUUCUGCUGAAGGCAUUUUCUUUUGAGCUAGUUGUGCAGCAUCUUUAAGCUGUAAAAUUUUGACAAAAAAGGGAUAAAUUAGACAAAUACUGUGAGCAAAUGAAGCAAAACAUGUGCAUUUUGGCAGUGUGAUCAUUAACCUGAAAGUCUUUCACACGAUUCCAAAGUGGUGGCAGACCAGAAAAUAACUUCUUCACAGAAAGCUCAGGAGGCUUUGCAUGCUUGAAAAAGGAGUGCUUUAAUAAUUUCUCUGCAGUUGGCCUCUUUGUUUGAUCUUUCACCAGGCACAUCGCAACCAUUUCUUUAAAAGACUGAUCACAACUGGAAGUCCUUUAAUUAGAAAUUUGCUAUGACAAAUAAGCAAUUGUAAAACACCAUUAAAUGCACCAAUCAAUGUUUUAUGUAUAUAAUGACAAAUAACAUGUCUGUCACUGUGAUGAUGUAGCCAGAAAGAAUAGCAGUACCUUAGAGAACUUCUUAUCACGACCAUAAUCAAGUCCUGGAGGAGCAUUUUGUAUGGUCAUCAGGAGAACCUGUUAUUGUUAGAAAGAAAAGUUGUAAAACAUAAAUAAGAUGUUUACUAAAAGCUCGUGUUAUUGAUACCUUCAUUGGUGGAGCAUUUAUAUAAAUUCUUGUUAUAUGUUCAACUGGGAUUAGAUACCUUAAUUGGUGGAUAUUUUGAAAAAGGUGCAUGACCAUGAGCCAACUCCAAUGCUGUUAUGCCAAAUGACCACAUAUCAGCCCUGUGAAAAAAUGCAACCAAUUAAUGAAAUUACAAAAUUAAGUUGAAAAACAAAAUGUACUACUUCUUUAAAUGUACCAAGAAAUAUACCAACUUUGAAUGCACUCAAGCCAAAUUCAACUCAGUCCAAGCAUAAUAGCCAUUAACUAUAUAAAAUAUACCAGAUUCCCAUGGUACAAUUUGAAUAAUUAAAAUAUACAUCACAAAUUUGCAAUGUAUCUGCAAAAGUGGCAACUUUGAGGAGCAUAGAUAAUUUAAUAGAAUGCCAUGAUGUGUGGAUAAAGUAAAAUUUUGGUUUUUGGAAAAAAUAUAUAACUUGGACCAAAAUCAUGAUACCUUGCAGGUUCAAACCCAUGACCAAACCUUGCUACCCAGAAACAGAAAAACUUGUGUAAACUAAGAUGCCAUACCUACUGAACUUUUUAUGGUGACAAUAUGUAUUUACGAGAAAUUCUUAGGCUUUAAAUAUUUUUCAAAAUCUUAAACACGGAUUGAAACUCACUUGGAGUUAUAUCCACUUCCUGGCUGCAAGACCUCUGGAGCCAUCCUGCAAAGAAAGGAUAAUUGAAAUCUCAAAUCAUGGAAAAAUUCAAGAAGAAAAAUAAAUUCUAUCAAUGGCAUCAGAGUGGGAGAGGUGAGGAAGAGAACAAUAAUUGUUUGACAGAUUUGACAAAGAUAGCUCACCAGCAAGGAGUCCCAACAAAGGUAUUUCUAGAACGUUGUCUAUCUCCUGCAUCAAACAUGCAGGCUGAAACACCAAAGUCAGCAAGCUUUACUGAGCCAUUGUAGUCAAGCAGUAUGUUCCCGGCCUGUAAUGUCAAUUUAAAAACAACUGAAAUAAAAGGAAUGAUAAAUUCAUUUGGAUAAAAUAAUGUUAACUUCAAUGGUGUCUUGACCUUAACAUCCCGAUGAAUAUGUCCUUGUCGAUGAAGAUAAUCCAAAGCCUUAAGAGUUUCUUUCAGAAUAGAACCAAUGGCAGGCUCUUCAAAUCCAUCAGGAUAAGCUAUCUUCAUGAGGUGCAAACAGGAACCCUCCGACAUAAAUGGCAUGAUUACCCAAAGGUUAUAGUCAACUACGAACGAACAAUAUGCCCGAACAACAUUUGGGUGAUCAAUUAAACUCAUCGUUUGAGCCUCCCGGCGUAUUUCAUCCUGAAAAGAGCAUUAGUCAUCAAGAAAGCUACACAAGAGUCAAAAGAUCAUGAAGAGAGGAGGUAUUGACUAACAUGAAAAGUAGAAAAUAUAGACCUAAGCUAUACCACUCAUGAUACUAACAGUUAUAAAGCCUCUAAAUGACUUCCAUCAUAAAAGAUUCCAGUAGCCAAAAAACAAUGCGGCAUGCACAUAUUGAGUGAUUCUAUUAUUAUCAAACAUAAAACUUGUUCAGUGGAAUGACCUAUAUGUAAUGAAACAAAAUAGCUUACCAGAACUUUAGUACGCAUGAACGAUAACUAAGGCUUUGUUUGGAUUGAGAGGAAGCUAAGGGAAGGAAAAGUAAGGUACGGAGAAUAGUACUGUCCUCGUUUAGAAAACGUUUUAACAGGACAAAAUUUUAAUCCCACCAGUAACAAGUAACAACUUUUAAAGUCUCUUAUUAUUUUGGAACUGAGUCCCCCUGAUUUCUCAAUCCUUUCUCAGUUGAGUAGCAAAAUUCUAUGAGAACAAAAUCAUCUCCUAGGCAUAUCAAGUGGGCACCAAUUUAAUUCCUUUAUAAACAUAUUCCUAACUGAAAGAACAAAUAAUCCCACGGAUCCAAUGGUGUCAGCAUUUUAAAGUAUUCCUUGCUGGCAGAUAUCCAAGCUUUAAAUAACCAUGGAAUGUUGAUAGACUAUCUUCAGUACACACAGUAGCAAUCCCAUUUCAGCACUAAACUGCCUCAGCUAAAUCAAUGGUAUGGUCGCUACCAAAGAAAAAUUCCUAUUUGAAUGGUAUGGUUCGCAUAACACUAUUAAAUAGAGUUUUCUUGCUUCCUCAGAAACAAUUAAAGAUAGAAGAUAAAAGGAACAAUUUUCAACUUCAAACAAUUUCAAAAGGAACAAAUUCCAACAAUUAUCUGGCACUAGAGAAAGACGUACACACAGACGAGAAACAAAGCUAGAAUUCAAUCAUCGUUCAAAACCUCAUAAACUCCGACUUUAAGGCAACGAUUUUCAAUAAUAAAAAGUAAGAAUCUCAGAAUUCCAUUCAACUCCACGAGAAACAAUUAAUAAAUCCACAAUCAAAUCAAUUUAAUCAAACGAGAUCUAUUCAAAACCAACUAAAAUCAAAUCAAGUUACAGCAUUAUUUGAGUAGAAACUAAAAAUCAAAUAAAGAGUAAAAAACGAACCAGAUUACUAUUGCAACGAUCGACAUCCAGACACUUCACAGCUACGACCUCGUUAGAAGGGAGAUACAUCGCUCUAUAAACGGUAGCACUGGCGCCACAACCAACCUCUUCUAAAAGCUUAUAAUCGUCAGAAUUCGCUGAGUAACGUCUCUGACUUCCACCCAUUCUCCUCAUGCCCUAAAACCUUAAACCGCCUUUGGAGAACCAACGCAUUAACCGUCAAGAAGUAGUCGCUUAAAGACGCCAGCAAAGUAAUUUAACAGCAAAAGAAUCGUCCCGAAAAUUAAAAGGCGGCUUAUUUCUUUUGUUUUUAUUAUUAGGCGUGAAGUAUUUAUUUGAUCCGUUGACCGCCAUGAGCGGCGACAUAGAGAGGGGACUGGUUUGAGGUGAAGAGCGAACGGGCUGGUGCUGACGUGGCUAAUUGCUGCUAGUUGAUUGGAUUUUGACACGUGGAUUUUUCCCAUGAGUUGGCAGACGACUAGACGUAGCUUAUUUUAUUUUCUUCUCCUUUUCUGAGUUUUGAUUAUUUAUAGUGGCGUUUUCUCCGUAAGUUUACUUUGUCAUAACUCAUAUGCUAAUAUGAAAUUUCAAUUAAAACUAGUUAUUAUUAUUAAUUACAAAUAAAUUAACAAAUUGCACAUUCCUCAGACCCAAUCAAGUCCAUUAAUAUUUUUUUAUAAAAUUAUUAUUAUUAUUAUUAUGAAUAUUUCCAAAUGCCCAGUAUACUAGACUACAAUAUGCCUCAAAUCUUUAUUGUCUCUAAAAUUAAAAUGAAAUUAAGUUUCUCAUUUAUUACAAAAUAUUUCUUAUAAUUAAAAUAAUAAAAUUUUUUAAUUUUUAUCACUUUAUUUAAAUAAAAUCAUAUAUUUUUAUUAUAUUCAAAUAAUUUUUUUAAUUCAUAUUUAAGUAAACUCUUUACUUUUAAUUCCAAAUCGUCUUUGUCAUUUAACAUUUAUCUAAAUAAAUCUUCAAUAUAAAUCAAUCCUUUCAUUUAAAAUAAAUUUUUAAUUAAAUAUAAAUUAAAAAAUAAAAAUCUAUUAACUAUGAUAAAAAUAUAAAAAUUUAUUUAAAAUUUUAAAAUAAUUCAAUAACUUUUUAAUAGUUUACCCAUUUCAGUCAUUUCAUUUUAUGAUUUUUUGUUUUGUUAAUUGACUUCCAAAUUUCCAAAACUGGGUAACAAAUUUAGAAUAAGAGAUUGGAAAAAUUGCCCCAAUACCACAUUUCCAUUUUUUAUAAUUUAUAAUUUACACUGUCAUAGGAUUCUCAUGAGCCUCAAGCUUUUGGCGGAGGCUUUGGAGACCAAGUAUCCAAUCCCAAAGCACAUCACCCAAAUGCCCACAUCAAAGGCCCAACUCACCUGCCUCCCACCACAAUCUGCCUCGCACUUUCCUUCCAAACCGCUACUGUCCGGUUCCCAACAACUGCAGCAAUAUCUACCGUCCGAUUCACUCUCCCCUUCUCUCUCCUCUGGAAUAUCCUCCAGCUGAUUAAAACCCACCCUCCUAUUCUUCUUCCUCUUCCUCGCAGACAUUUCCACCCUCUCUAAGAUCGCCACGUUUCCCUCUACAGCCACGCAGACAUCCGCCAUCGCCCGUUCAACGGCAACCGUUUCCCCAUCCCCUCCUUCCAGCGCGCACUUGCACUCCAUUUUCCACCUCUGCGCCUCCUCUCUUCUGAAAAUCCCUUUCAACACCUUUUCCUCUCUUGAAUAAACCUCGAACCGGACCCCAUCCCCGGCGCGAACCCGCUCUCUGCUCCCAUAUAUCGCCUCUCCAACUUUCGUCUCCACUUUAACCAUCCGAUGGAGAGUCAAGAACGCGAAGGAAUCGGGCCGGAUAUUGGACCCGGAAACUUCGAGUGCCGUUUCGUUGAUUCUUGGUGAGUAGAGUAGGGUGAGCGAAUCGGAUAACAGUUCCGCACAAGAACCCAAACCCGAGAAACGAAUAAAGAAAGCUUUGAUCUUCAAAAGACUUUGAUCGCUGGAGCGAAAGUCGUGAUAACAAUCCGAAGACCUACACAUUUUUUAUUUUUAUUUGGUUUCAAAAAUGGAAUCUGAAAUAUCUUUUGAGGGAUUUAUAACGCAAGAGAGUGGAUGUGGAGGCGAUAGAGGCGGUUCAGGCGACGUCGGUUUUGGAGAAUAAGGGGGGUGAUAGCACACGGUUUUUAGUGUCGAAAUGUACAAGAAGACAACAGCUAUAAAUUCUUGUCGGAUAAGAGGUAACUUGAUGGAAUUUUCAAACUUUUCAUUGUGAUAUUAUCUAGUCGCUCCGAGUAACGAAGAUGGUGUCUUUGUGGUUUUGAUUGUGGAAUUUUCAAACUUUGGGGCCAUAGAUGGCUGAUACUCUUGGCUUCUUUCUUUUGUUUGGAACUAAAAUAAUUAUCUUCAAUUUAUGAUAGUGAUGAGAUUCCUCUUGGCUGCUUAUUACAACUUGAUUGAUUGUGAAUCCGAAUUCAUCCAUGACAGUUGACUUGUCAAUUUACGCCGGUAGAGCUUUGGUUUCGUUUCUCAGUUGGGGCUGGGCUUCUUGUAAAGGAGCAGUGCUCGUUUAAGCCUAGAAAAUAGGGUUAGGCGUACAAUAGGGGAAUCUCGGCAAGUCUAUUGUUAAGUGAGAUUUUAGAUUUUAUCGUAUUUUUAAUAUAAAUUUUUUAUGAAAUUUUUUUAAUAAUAAUUAUAAUAAUUUUUAAUUUCAUCGAAAUUAAUUUUAUUAUCCAUUUAAAUAAAUCUUAAACCAUUUUGUUUCGCUGCUAAAUGAUUAAAAAGGAACCAAUACUGAAAUCAGUUUUAAGAUAAAGAGUUUUGAAUCUCAAUAAGCUGUUAAUUCCGUAAUAUUAAGAUCGACUUCAAUAAAGAGAAUUUUGAGUUCGAAACGUAAUUAUAAUUCAAAAGAUUAAAAAAAUAUAUAUUACGGAAGAAACAUCCAAACGUGUCUUGUUCUGUUUCAGGAAUUUGAGGCAUGUUGUUAACGACAAUUGCUUGGUGAUAAAAUUUUCAAACCACGUUUGUAGAAAAAUGAGAAUUAGUCGUCUGAUAUGACAAAAGCAAUUGGAGCUGUCUUCCGACUGGACACUGCCGCAACUAGCAACCAUGUGACUUUCGGUGGGGAGAUGAUGACUUCUUACAAUUCGGGAGAGUUGUCAAUAGCGCUAUGGCAAUCUAUCUCUUUCCGCUUGAAAUGCCGUUUUGGUAUUGGAUGAAGUGCCAUUUGGGCUCUGGUUUGAAAGCAACUUCAACUUCACUAUAAAUAAAUCUUUUAAAUUGGAUUCGAAAUUAGAAUUGACGUUUAAUUAGAGAUAUCGGUCAAAUUCGUUUCGAAAAAUUUUGAUUUCAUACGAUUUUUUAGAAUCGAUUUUUUUAAAUAAAAAAUUAUAUUUCAAGUCAAUAUCAAAUUUUGAAUAAAUUUCAUCCGAUUUAAUAUAUAAAAAAAAAUUAUUUUUAAAUUAUUUAUUUAAUUUUAUAUUUAUAUUUAAAAAUAAUAUUUUAUUAAUUUCAAAUCAAAUCAAAUUUAAAUAUAAAAAAAUAAAAAAUUUAUCAAAUCGAAUAUCAAAUUUAAAAUAAAUAAAAAUUUCUUUCGGCUCUAUCCGUUAUUAUUUCUACGUUUAAUAGACCUGAUAAUUCAAAUUCUGAAUGCACGCGAAAUUGUGGGUUACAUGGCAUAGUGAUCCAAUACAAUAUGUAUUGGCAUCUGGCACUGAAAGAACAGAAAUGCACAUGAGAUUAUCUUCCCAUAGCACAUAGGCCUUAUGUUCACUCUUGUCUUCACUUUUAUUUUUACUCCCUCUUUAUCAUCUUAUUUACGGAAUACUGAUUUUGAUUUGAGCGUCCUGCCAUACCAGUUUCGACACCUCUGUCUAAUUGUCUAUGUCUUGCAAGUCUUUUAAUUUUGAUUGAAUGUUACGAUGUUUAAAAUUCAGUUUUAAUCAAAUUAAUAGGUUGAAUUAAUUUAAUUUGAUUAAUUAAUUUAUUAUUAAAUUAAUUUUUAUUAAUUAUUGAAAAUAAUUUUUACAAAAUUUUGAUUUUUGAUUAAUUUAAUUUGAAAAUUAAAUUAACUAAAAUAUAAUAAAACUUAUAUAUAUAACUAAAAAUAUAUGAAUUGUCCAUUUUAUUAUAAAUUUUUAAAGUUUUUAUUUUAAUAUUUGGUAUUUGAAUUUUUUGUUAGAUAAUUUUAUUUAAUUUAUUUUAAAUAUAAGAAAUUAAGAAUUUAUAAUACAAUUUAAUUUAUUUUCUUUUAUUAUUCAGUUAAUAAAACAUUAAUCAAACUAAUUUUAAUUGAUUAAUUUUUUAAAUUAAAAAAUUUAGUUCGAUUCAUAAAAAUAUAAUAACAUAAUUCAAUUAAUUUAAUUUUAAAUAAUUUAAUUUAAAAUUUAUUGAAUCGACUGAACAUAUUCAAACCUCGAUAGCUUGACUAAAGCUUUAAAACCAUUACUUACUGACAACAAGCUUGUUCCCUCACCCCAAUUCAGGACCAUUGCUCUGAAAUGUAGAAAACUGAGAAUAUUAUACAUGCUUAAUUAUUAACUCUUUUUGCAGAUAAAAUGAUCAAAAUUUACAUCACUUAUUGACAUAUAUAUUAUACUGAUAAUUGCAUGAAAAUUUUGAGCAUCUAUGAGAGGACAUUUGGCCUUUGAUCAUUAUCUGAAGAUAUUAUAUAUGAAUAUGACGACUGAAUAAUUUUCAGAUGUAUUUAUAAAUAAGUGCAGAAGCAGAACAACUGCCAUUAGGUAAAACAAUUAACCAUCAGGAGCCUGAAAUUUGGAUUUAUGGUUUACUCUUCCGCCAGUCUUUCAUGAACUAAUGGGAUAUUUAUGACAUUAUCAACAUCAAUAAUGGGUGUCUAUAUCUUGUAUUUUUCCAGCAGUUUCACGUUCUGGGACCACAGUUUUGGCUGCAGCGUGUGGUGGGGUCAAGAAUCAAGACCAUUAGUUUUCAAAGAAGGCUACACUUCCACGACACCAUUUACAUCCUUUACUUCUUGUCUCUCUCUCUUUUUCCAUCUCUUACGAAAAUGAACUUCAAUUUUAUGCACAAAAAAAAAAAAAAAAAAGAAAUUAAGGGAACUUUUUUCAUUACUCUGAUUGUAAGACAGGCUUUGUCAGCAUAGGAGGCAAGAGGCUUUUGCUUACCGUUUGACUAGCUAUUAAUGCUUUAAAGUGGGAAAGAAAAAACGAACAAAAACGUAGUCCAGUUCAAAGAGUUGACUGAAAGGGAAAGAGGAAAUAAAUAUUAGUGACACUAAAUUGUUGGUCUUUCAUGAAUGAUAAUUGACUAGUCUAGAAGGGAAUAAUAAGAAGGUAAAACACUUUUCAGUUCCUAAGUCCUAACCUCAGUCUUAUAAUAAUAUCUACAAGCUAGAAUUAUAUGCAAUAAAAUGUGAGGCUUGAAUCGUUUGUCAAGUUCUCUAGUUGGAUUUCUUGGUUUUGUCUUGUUUGUUUGUUCCUUGUUAACUUCGGCUGGUUAAUUUUAUAAACACAUAAUUACUUGCUGUGAAUCCUGUGACUGUGAGCCAUCCCCUUCCAGUAGAAAAGAAAGUUCUAUUUUUCUACUCUUAGGUUGGUCAAUAUGAAGGAGGAUAAAACUGUAGAAGUGAAGAAUUUUGAGCGGGAAGAAGUUUAUCAAUUAGAUUUCCUUUUUAUUUAACGUUGAUUCAGUGCCGUAUGGUAAAAGGUUUUCAUAUGAUUAGACAUUACUAUAUAUCUUUGCACUUCAGCCAAAAUGUAUACUGUCAAUGGGUACUUUUGUCUGUAGAUGGUUGAUUGUGAUCAUUUGCUGCGAGUUUUUUCAAUGUGUUCACAUUAUCAUAAAUGAUUUUGAGAGGACAUGAAAGAAAAAAAGAACCGACAAAUAGGAAACUGUUAAAGACAUAAUAAUUGCUGAUGUCAGGGUGUUGCGAGAGUAGAAAUUAACAGGGUAGGAAAAUAGAGUCAACAACAAUAAGAAAGAAGCAUUACAUGCACCAAGAAGAUGAAUGCCUAUCCCAAAUUCCAUAUUAUGGCUUGUUACACUAACAAAAAUCAAUGGGGGAUAUAUUACCAGUAAGAAAGAGAGAAACCUCAAUAUGAACAUAAUUUCCAUCAUUUUCUGUUGCAUUGGAUGACUGACCCACAUAGCCACAACUUAACAAUUUUCCUUAAAUCAUGUUUAAACCACACUUAGGAAAAAAAAAGAAUCUCUCUUGUUGACAAUACUAUUAUAACCAACUCAAUGGCCUAGGAAAAAAAAAGGAGAGGUCAAUAAUAUGGUCAUCAAAUCAGGCCAAUGCUCGUUAAGUAAGCUGUUAAAGUUAUGAGCUUUAUAAAUAUUAUAAUCUCCUGCCUACACCUUCAUAGUUCAUACCAAGCACUAUAUUACAUGUUAUUUUCUUCCGAUUGUGUGAGAAGUCAUUUCUACUUUGUCAAAUUGGCAAGUGAAUGAAACUACAAGUAGAUUCUGAACAACAUAUUUACACUAUUAGGAGGGAUAUUUUGGUGGUUCAAUGAUUUAUAUUUAUAUAUGAAUGCUAGUUAUAGGCUGGGAUUCUAAGAAGGAAACUAAGAUCCGCAUCGGUUUCAUGGUGUCUGGUUCAUUGAGAAGGAUUUUAAUGUUCUAAAAGAAGCAGACAAGGAACCACUUGACAACUUGUUUGAAAUUAUGCAAUAAGUCUCUAAUCCGUCUAUCAAAGCUAGAAGAAUAAAAGAAAAUGAGAAGUACAAGGUAGACCGAGGUGACAUAUAUAUAUAUAUAUUAUGCAUUGGAUUUGUAUUCCCACAAAAAUAGCCUAGUUUUCUUUUCUAAUCAUUUCACAUGCUUUGUCAGUGGUGAUCAAUUUCAUUUUCUUUAUUCUGUUGAUGUCAAGUCUUCGUUGAAUUUCGCAGAGCAACAAUGAGCAUGGACGAAGUGAAUUAUAAGAAAGAGAAUCAGAGAGAGAACUUGAAAGAACUACAUGAAGAAACCGAGGGUUCAAGGACAAUAGAACCAUGGACAAAGCAAAUCACAGUCAGGGGAAUCAUCGUAAGCAUUCUGAUCGGAACCAUUUACAGUGUGAUAGCCAUGAAGCUAAACCUCACAGUUGGUUUGGUUCCCCAUUUUAAUGUCUCGGCUGCUCUUCUUGCCUUUAUUUUUAUCCGGACAUGGACAAAGGCUGUUCAAAAGGCUGGAUUUAUGUCCAAACCUUUUACAAGACAAGAGAACACCAUGAUACAAACAUGUGCAGUUGCAUGUUACAGCAUCGCUGUUGGAGGUUAGAGAGGUUUCAAGCAUAAGCAACGUUUGAAAUUUCCUUGUUUAUUUUCAGGCUAGUUUCAAUUCUUUCCUGAUAUCACCACUUUUUUUUUAUCUGGACUGCAGGUGGAUUUGCUUCUUAUCUUUUAGGGUUAAACAGGAAAACGUAUGAAUUGUCUGGAGUAGACACUGAAGGGAACGCUGCAUCCACUGUGAAAGAACCAGGAUUUGGUUGGAUGACUGGCUUCCUUUUUGUAGUUUGCUUUGUUGGUCUUUUUGUCUUAAUUCCUCUCAGAAAGGUAUAUCUGAUCAACAGCUCUUAAACUUUUUUUCUCCAUCACCAUGACCUUGUUAUAAACAGUUGUGGAUCACUUGCACCAAGUUAUGUCACGAAGGGGAAAGAAAUUUUCAUGGAAACAGUUCAAAAAAAUUUCAUGGGAAUUCUUCUUCUGUACAGGUCAUGAUAGUAGACCUCAAGUUGACUUAUCCAAGUGGCUUAGCAACUGCAGUUCUCAUCAAUGGUUUUCAUAGCCAAGGCGAUGAGUCGGCCAAGUAAGCAUCUAGAGUUAACAUUUCUUUGUUGGUUGUUACAAAUCUAUUCAAAAAGUAUGUAAGAAUCAAACCACAGAAGAAGAAGAAGUUAUGACGUAUGAAUAUGAUCAUCAUUAUUGCAGGAAACAGGUGCAUGGAUUCGUGAAGUAUUUUUCAGCUAGUUUCCUGUGGGGGUUUUUCCAAUGGUUUUUCUCUGGGAAAGAAGGAUGUGGUUUCAAACAGUUUCCUACUUUCGGAUUGCAAGCCUGGAAGCAAACGUACGUCUUUGUUCCUGAAAUGUUAUUGAGCAUAUCGUUCCUUUUAUUUAUUUUUUUGCUUCUUGUUUAUGUGACUAAUCAUUUCUUGGUUUCUUGCAGAUUCUUCUUUGAUUUUAGCCUGACCUUUGUCGGGACAGGAAUGAUCUGUUCCCACCUCGUGAACUUGUCUUUGCUUUUUGGAGCCGUGCUCUCUUAUGGACUAAUGUGGCCACUCAUUAAUCGGCUUAAAGGGGAUUGGUUUUCUGAGGAUUUACAAGAAAUCAGUAUGAAAAGUUUAUAUGGCUACAAGGUCUCUCAGUUUCUUUCUUUCCCGAAACAAGUUCGCUUCCCUAAUAAUUCAAAAAAAUUCUAUAAAAAUGUUUACAGAGCAAUGUUUAUAACCUAUAAUUUUAUGGUGGUCAGGUUUUUGUAUCUGUUGCUCUCAUUCUCGGUGAUGGCCUCUACAAUUUCCUCAAGAUAUUCUGUUUCACGCUUAUUAACAUCCAUGGCAGGUUGAAGAACAAAAACCGAAAUACAGGUAAAUUGAGCAGCAUUCCUAUCUUCUCCUUUCGGGGCGGCGUAAAAGCUAAAGAGUUCAUCAAUGCUCUAUGUCAUAUAGUGAACUUUUGACGGUGAGUAACCAACAUAUAUUGUCCUUGCUUGCAGCUGAUGAGGAUGACCUGAAGAAGACAGCUGAGGAUCUAAAACAAAACGAAGUUUUCCUUAGAGAAACCAUUCCCAUGUGGAUAGGCAUUAUCGGAUAUGUAGUAUUAUCUAUCAUGUCAAUUAUUGUGAUCCCCAUCAUGUUUCCUCAGCUCAAAUGGUACUAUGUGGUUGUAGCUUACAUUCUAGCUCCAUCUCUGGCAUUCUGCAAUGCAUACGGGGCUGGUCUCACUGACAUGAACAUGGCCUAUAACUAUGGGAAAGUCGCACUAUUUCUGCUAGCGGCAUUGUCGGGGAAGGAAAACGGCGUGGUCGCAGGGCUUGCCGGAUGUGGUCUCAUCAAAUCUGUUGUUUCUGUUGCUUGCAUUCUAAUGCAAGAUUUCAAGACAGCGCAUUAUACUCUCACCUCUCCAAGAGCAAUGUUCUUGAGCCAGGCAAUUGGGACGGCUAUUGGCUGCGUUACAGCGCCUCUUAGUUUCUUUCUUUUCUACAAGGCAUUUGAUGUUGGAAAUCCAAAUGGAGAGUUCAAAGCUCCGUAUGCCUUGAUAUACAGAAACAUGGCAAUUCUCGCUGUACAAGGCUUUUCGGCCCUGCCUCAGCACUGCUUGCAACUCUGUUAUGGCUUCUUUGCUUUUGCAGUGGCAGUGAAUUUGGUGAGAGAUUUCUCACCGCAUAAGAUAGGGAAAUGGAUGCCACUUCCAAUGGCCAUGGCGGUGCCAUUUCUAGUUGGGGCCUAUUUUGCGAUUGACAUGUGCUUGGGGACUUUGGUGGUGUUUGUUUGGCACAAGCUGAAAACAAAGAAGGCUGACAUGAUGGUUCCAGCCGUUGCUUCUGGACUAAUAUGCGGAGAAGGGCUAUGGGUUCUCCCUGCUUCAAUUCUUGCCUUGGCCAAAAUAAAUCCUCCCAUUUGCAUGAAAUUUCUGCGGUCUUAGACUUAAGCUUUGCUUAGUAAAAAAAGGAAAAGAAACGAAGAUAAAAAAAUUUGUUAAAUAUUUAAAAUUUAUAAUCAAUUUGAUAGUUUGUAACUUAACUAUUUUGAUUAAAUAAAGUCUUUCAUCCUUAUAAUUUUCCAUCUUUCUUAACAUGCAAAGCUAGUUUGAGCAGAGAAAUCAUGAUAAAAUGUUCAAGAAAAAAGAACAAAAAGUUUAAACGCAGAUCCGAGAACAAAACGCUAGCAGCAAUUGUGUCCGAGUGGUCGAUGACUAGAUUUUUUUUUUUUUUUUGAAAAUAAAAACUUCAAUCUUUGGGAAGAUAGCAUAAUAAAUGCUGCAAGUCUACAUUACUUUGGCACUUUCAUGAAAGGAUAAAAACCAGAGUACUUUCUUUACAAAAAUUAAAAAAAAAAAAAAAAAAAAAACUGUACACUGGGUAUAACUAAUAAUGUUUCCAAUCAGUAGACAAAAAGGGCAAGGGUCCAAAUUGAGAUCAAACUAAUAGUCUAAAACCACUCGAUCACACUGGAUAUCAUCAAAUGGGGAAGUGAAGAGUGGUUCAACUUCAAUCCACCCUCCAACUUUACAUUUAGAAUUUUCAAAGGAUAUAAAACGCAGGAAAAGAAAUAUGAUAUCAUUUAAGAUGCCAAAUGAAUAAUUUGACAGAAAUUAGCUUAACCUUACAGUAUUCCAAAAAUUUUGAUAAUAUACAUGAAUCAAACUAGAUUCAACCAAAUUUGAAGACAGACGUAAAAAACCUCGACAAAAAAUGUCAGAUCAAUAUAUAAGAAAUAAUUAGGCAGUAAUGAUACCCGCUAGAACAUCAGUCUUACCUCGUGCAUAAAUUGUGUAAACUAACAGGAUAGCAUCAAGCCACCCAUCUAGGGAUUCCCAUGAGUCUGCAACCUGAAGGGCAGUGCAGACAAUACUCGCUAAAGCUGGAUUGCCAUACAUAUAUAUAUUGCUAAAAUAGCAUCCAAACGACAAACAUUGGCACAUCUAGCAAAUAAUUGUCAAGUUUGCCAACAGCAUGAAAGACGUCAUUCCUUUAUUAAGAUUUGAGACGAAACUUUUAGAAUGAAAAUAUAAAGCAUGAUAUACUUACCAGCAAAACUGGACCCCGAGUUGUAUCAAUGCAGAGGCCUGCACCUGGUGGUAAAGUCAGAUCAGCACAUGCUGAUACAGAAACAAUAUCUGGAAUAUCAACUCUGAUGGCCCUUUUGUCAAUAUUUGCUACAUCUGCAGUUCUGCUAAAGAGGCUUCGGGAAACUUGUUUCCGCUCGACUCUGAUGACCUGCUCAAUUGGAAAAUAGAAGAGAAGGAUAUGGAGAAAAGAAAAUGAAAGUCUGAACAGAUGUGGCCUUUAACUAGUCCAAGAUUAGUGCGACUGCCAAAGCAAUGAAACAGUAAAGCAAUGCAUACAAGGAUAAACUGACAUCGACCAGCAGCAUCAACUGGAGAUAAACCCUAUUCCCACCUCUCUCUCUCUCUCUCUCUCUCAUACACACGGACACACCCUUAGUACGUUGUGUAACAGUUUAUAUUAGUUUUCCUUGUGUAGAUAACAUCCUGGAAUUUAAAAUGAAAGUGACUUACAACAAGCACAUAUUUGCUCAUACUCUAUGAUUCAUUCCAACUUCUCAAGGAAUUUACAAUCACAUAAGUUCAGACAUUUAAAUAUCAAAAUUGGCUUGAAGAAAUGAAUCCCCAUACUCAGGCAAAGAUGAAAAUGAAACUUGAUAUUUAUUUACCAUGGACAAUGAAAAAACCAAUCAGUUUUUUACCUGUUGAAGCACUUCAUGAUUCAAAAAGAACUCUCUUCUCUUCCAAUCACCAUGAGGUGCAAUUGUGUUUCCUACUGUUGGUGCAGUUAGAUACCCAUCUUUAAGAUGGGGUAAAGGUAGCUGUCAAAAAUUUUUUUGUCAGACUUGUAAUAGAAAAUAAUUUUCCCAGCUAAUUCGUUUGAGUAUAAACAGAGUAAUGACUGUGACAACCAUUUGUUUUCUAACCAGUCAGUAGUUCUCUUCACCAGGUGAGCUGCCCGGUUUAAACAUGAAACCAUAAAUGAGAAAAACCAUCUUUCCUAACAGACAGACACACUCAAAAAAGAAGAGGGAGAAAGAAUAGGAAUUGAGUUCCUUGCCAUUAUAUUUUUUAAUAAAAUUAUGUUUAUUAUGAUUUGAACACAAGAUCACUACUGCAAGGAGGUAUUGCUAGGCCAUAUUAACUGAAAGUUUUACAGUUAUGUGAAAUGACUUAUGUUGUGAACAAAAAGAAAUGAACACCGAUGCGAGUAAGGAUUGUCCAAUCAUUGAAAAGGUUUACAUCCAAGCCAAAGGAAUACUAUAAAAAAACAUUGGAUUAGGCAUGCAGUUCAUAGGAAGCAUUUCUCCUACAAUAAUUGUAGUACAAUUAACUGAUCUCAAUUCAGAAUUGUGAGAUCCAUCAAAAUUUUAUGCUGAGCCCAAACUUAUAAAUGGUGGACUCUUACAAAAUUUUAUAUCAUGAUUGGAAAAUUAUAGGAUUAUAGUAAAAGAAUUGUAGGUGAUAUGCUCCUGAAGUGCCUAAGGGGAAGGGCAUUUUAAAUCAAAACAACAGUUUCAGGUGCAGCUCAAAGACUCAGUUACAUUGCAUGAUAAUUGACAGUUAAAAACAGCACUGAUGCAAUGACAUGAAAGAAAUGAGGAAUUCAUGGAUAACACUGAAAAACAUUCAUCCUAUAAUAUUAAAAAAUCCUUGAAAAUUAUAAUUAACCAGGGAAAGCAGCAAGAGAUCAUUCUCAUGGCUAAUAGACUCAACAUUACUUACGGAAUAUUCAAUCAAUUUAGAAAACAAUAAACCUCAAAAAUAUUGUUGAAAGAUAACAUACUAACCAUUGAAUGAACAAGCCUCAAGGCAUUGCUGUAAACCUGUACGUUUUAAAACAUCAAAUAAGAACAUAUCCACAAAACUAAGAUGGGAAGUCAAAUUGCAUAACUUUGAAACUUUAAAUUAAGGAGAAAACGAAGAAGUAUAUCAUUAGUUUUCUUGUAAAAUUUAUGCCGCAAAAUUUCAUUAGCCAAUAAUUAUGCCACCUAUAUAGCCUGAAAGUGAUACUACAUCUAGUCAGUUCCAAGAACACACUUAUUUCUUACAGAGUAAUUUGGUUUCAAUGCACGAGCAGCUGCAAUAUAGAUAGCAGACUGGCUAUAAAGCCCAUUUGGGGAAACUUCUUUUGGAUUUGUUGAGCCUCCAGUUCUUAAGGUAUCCUCAGCUAGUCCAUACUGCAAUUAAAAAUAUAGGUAUUUUAAGUUUUGAAUUUAUGCUUCACUUAAACUUGAAUAAAAUGUUCAGAUAAUGAAGUCAUUAUCUAAUCUCAUUAAUAUCACAAAGAAAUAAAUCAUAGGUGAGAAUAGGAUUAUUCCAUCUAAUAUAAGAACUGGUAAUAACCAACAAUCUUACCAAAACAGUUCCGAGGUUGUAUAUUUCUCGAUGGAAAUCAAACUGCAACUGUAUUGCAGCACGAAACUGCAUCAGAAGCAAAGGAUAUUGUAAGAAUAGAAAAUACAACUAGAAUUAUUCUUUUAGGACAUAUGAGAUGUCAAAUUACUUUGCUGGUUGUUCCUAUAGUCAUCCAAGCACUCUGAUUUCUCCAAAUGACUUUUGUACCUUACUAAUUGCAGUCCUCACAAUUUUUGGCUUCUCUCAUGCUGGAACAAUCGCACUGAGCUCCUAAAGAAUACAUGAUAAGACAUGAAAGUAAGCAAAGCAUUAUAGGAUUCCAUAGAAGAAGACUCAGAAUUUAAUUUGAAAGAAAUGGAGAUAAAUGAAGCUAAUUAUAAUAUCAACAUCACGAAAACAUAGUUUACCUGAAGAGCAAGUCCCCAAUUGUUUAGUGCCUGAAAGAGAUUUAAGAAUACUUAAAAUCACUAACAGGUAGAAUAAAAAUGAAAGAUAGAGUCACUCUAGUUAGCACAAUUACAAGACUAACCAAUUACUUCAAACAUACCUGAGGGCUCUAUAUCAAACCCAUAACAAUAUGAUUAGGCUAUAUCAAACCCAACUUCAAGGUAUUUAUUCACUACAACAAGGCAAUUAUUAGAAAAGGCCAAGGAUUACUACCCAGCAGUACCACAAGGACAAUGCAUUUCUGUAAUAAAUUUUAGAUUGACCAUAUACCAAAAUUCUACAGUCAACCAAUUCCCAUGGUUCUUUGGCCUUAUUCAAAUGGAUUAUAUAACAGCAUGUGGUUAACAUGAAACAGAAAAGGAAAUGCUAUCUUAUCCACACACGGCAAAGGUUUUCCAUGACAAGACACCGAAAUUUUCCAACAAAAAAAGGCUAGUGUUACUCAUACAAACGUCUAUGACUGAAAUACCAAAAUUAUAUAGUCAGAACCUGCUCCCAUAGUUCUUCAGCCUCCUUUGUCUGACCACGCAUUUUUGCUCGAUCAGAUAUUGCUAUUGCCCAGUUGUAGAAAGCCUGUCAAGCUAUAUCAUGAAAUAUAUAUAUAUAUAUAUAUUGUACAGACUCCUUUCUUUGUGUGUAUAUAUAUGCACUCAUACAGCUAUACACUCGUUUCUAUUGUGUAUUCAGUUUCGUAUCUGGAUUCUACAUUCUGCGCAAUCAUCAUGCCUUUUCCAAUUAAACAGAACUUUAAAAAUCAUAAAUUCAAAGUAAUGCAACAGGAUCGUCACAUAAAUGGACAAGCAUGCAUACAUCAUGAAGUGUCGGGCAAAGACGAGUUGCCUCAUCAUACUUGUUACAAGCCUCCUCUAGCAAGGAAUCUUUAGAAGGUGAAGUCGAAUCUGGAUUAACAUUAUCUGCACUUUCCUGCAAGCCAAAUAAGAACAGUGCGGACAUGAUAAGAGCAAUCCAACAUUUUACAAUGAUUACAAUAUGCUUAAGUUGACAAUGUUUUGCAAGGUGUCCUAGCCAAAUAUGAAUAUGAGGACAUGAUAUAUAAUUCUGAAAGAUGUUAAUCAAAAUGAAUCAAUAUCUCAAACCUGAAGAACCAAAGCCCAGUUGUAAAGAGAAUCAUAAUCUUCUGGGUUUCUCUCUAGAGCAGUAGCAUACCUACAAAAUUUGACUGCAAAUCACUACUACGGAAUAGCAGGACUAUGAAACAGUAAUAUGGCAAGCUCAAUACAACAGUAAAGUGUGAAAAGUGAAUAAAAACAAGAUGAUAGUACCUCUUGGCAGCAUAUACAAGAAUCCGUUGGUUAGAUCUGCCCUCCUCAUCAGCACCUGUGACAUUAUUGAUCAACUCCAUCGCAGCAUCAUUUUGGUAGGAAUUUUGUUGCAUGCUUUCUUGACUGGAACAUAUAAAUCACAGGGUAGAAAAUGGUAUUGUUUACAAGCACAAGAAAAACCAGAAAUACAAGCAGGAACAAGAUGAUAUCAUACUUAUUACAACAAGACCAAGAAAGCUUUACAUAAAUGGCAGCACAUGAAAAAGAAAAUAAACUUAACUUACUUCUAUAAAGUGCAAGAUCCCAAAACUUAGGAUUCCUUCAUCCAAGUUAGACAUAGAGCAAGACUACAAUUAACAUCAAACUUGAAAUUCGCAACUGAUUGAAUGAUACAAAUACAGAAAAACAGAUCUGGUUGCAUCAAAAGCUCAAAGAUAACGAAUUUCUAGCAAAAUCCAAGUUCAGGACUAACGGAGGACCAUGAUCUGAGAACAGUUGCUCAUCUGUGCAACUAAUGAAAAUGAACUCCUAAUCUAAUAGGAAGGGCGCGCCUUAAUUGCAUCUAGAGGCUUGCCAAUAGAUAUUCAAGAAACAAAAUUCUUCAGCUUCUCUAUUCAGGAAUCAGGAUAUAAAAAGGAAAAGCGUAAUUUUAUGAUCAGUUAAAACUUGAAUAAUUUUCCAUAUGUAAAUUAAGGAGACAAAUUAACAGAGAAUUCCAAAGAUCCAGAGAUUUCUAAACAAAAUCUUCAUAAAUUCAAUUACAAAUUAAAGAGCGUAAUUUUCUGAUCAAUUGAAAAUCCAAAAGGGAAACAGGAAAAAAAAAAGUUACCUGUGAGGAGAGCCUGCAUCAUCUUCAUCGGUUUUCAAUUCACUUAGCAAUUCUCUCAUCGUGAAAGUCCGGUUGCCUUCAUCUUUUCGCAGCUCCGGACGAGCAAUUUUGUCUGUGGAUGCUGGUUUGGCUCCCUCAUUCGAUUGGAUCGAGCUCUCUUUGUCCUCCUCCGGCUUCGGAUCCGUAUCUGUUACAACCAAUUCCAGUUUCAAUUCCUCCUCCGAUUUCGUUUCCAGCUCUGAUUCCGGCUGUGGUUCCCAUUCGGGUUGAGAUUUUAGUUUGGUUUCCGGUUCAGGUUGUGGUUUUGAUUGUGGUUGGAAUCCAUUUUGAAGUUGCGAUUCCUGAGUGGUUUCUGACAUUGCGUUGAACGAGGGAUUUGCGUGCAACGCCCAAACGGAAUCGAAAAAGAUCUGAAGAGAAGGAAAGACGAAGAGUGAACAGACGAAAGAAAAAAAGUUACUUCAGUCGAAGACGUUACAAGGAGCUGUAAAAUCGGGUCGGUAAACUAAGGAUGACUAAUAAUAUUUAUCGCACGAAUUAAUUUUAUUUAUUAAUUAAAAUAUUUUAAAUUUAAAAAACUAUUAAUUAGAAUUUAUUACUACAAACAAAUUUAAAAAAUUAUAUUAAAAUAUUUGUCAAUAAUUAAACAUCAUUUUAUAAUAAAAAUAUUUAUGUAACCAAGAGAUAAGAAAAUUAUUUUUUAUUCAAAAUAAACUUCUUUGAAAUAUAAUUAAUUCUCAUUUUUAAAUUCAUGUGAUUUCAAAAACAAUAAUUAAUAUAAAAGACCUACUUAAAUUUCAAAAAUAUAUAAAAACUUAUUUAAAUUACCAAACAGUAAAAAAUAAUUUAAAAUUUCUUAAAUUAAAAAAUAAUUAUUGAUUAAGUAAAACUUACUAUCAUUAUCUUCAUGAAAAAUAAUAUUUUGUAGCUUAAUCUUCAUAUUCACAAUUCAUGUUAUUAUUAUUUUUACUUAAAAAAAAUAUGAUAAUAUAAAAGUUAAUAAGAUAACUAUUUACAAAUUUACAAAUCAGAUAAUAAUAAUUAUUAUUCUCUUUACUUUAUUUUUGUUUCUCAUUUUUCAUUUAAUAAAAUAUUAUAAUAAAUAUAACAUUGCAUAUUAAAAACCAGAGAAGUUUUAUAUGUCCAAAAAAUAUAUAAUAAGAUUAAGUACUAACCAAUUAUUUGAAACUUAAAAUAGAAUCUUCACAUAGAAGAAGAUUUUCAUAAAGUUAAACUCAAUAUAUAAUAUAAAAAAUUUAACAAAUGAAAUACAUAUAUAUUAUUUAUAAAUUAUAUAAAACUAAUUUCUUUAUUCAAUAAUUUUUUCUUGGCAUAACAAAAAAAAUAUAUACCUACAAAUUUUGUUUAAGUGUUUAAAAACUGUGAGCUUGAUAAAAAAAUUAAAAUAAUUAGAAAGUGUGAAGCAAAUAGAAAAAAAGUUAAAAAUAAACAAUAAUUUUAAAAACUAAAACUAACUAAAAAAAAUUUUGACAUACUUUAACUUAAUUGUAAUAUUGAUCAACACAUUAAAAAAUAUUAAGAAAUUUGCAUUAAAAAGAGAAUUUGAAUAAAAAUAAUAUAUUUGUAUAAUUAUUAGAUGUGAAAAUACAUACUUCAUAUUUAACCCGUAAUUAAUGUAAGUUCAACAGAAAAAAUACUAAAAGAUUUUGACAGUUCAAAAGAUGUAAUAAUUUAUUUUAAUUUGUUUGAAUUUAAAAAGAAUAUAUCAAAUAUUAAAAGAUUACGAGGAAAUCUAUGAAUAUAUUGAAAUUUUUAAAUUUAAAAGAGAUAUAUGUAUAUUAUUGAAAAAUUUUAGUUUAAAAAAAUAGAUCUAAAUUAUAUUUAAUUUGUAUGCUUUACACAUAAUUAAUUCAAAUAUUUAAAGUAACAUGUAUAAGAAAAAGUCAAAAAGUGAGUAAAACUGGAAUGAUUUAAUCGAAAAAUAUUUAAUAUUUAAAAGUUAGCAUAUGAAUUUUGGCUUUGAUAUAUAUUAAUGAUAAAAGUUAAUUGAGAUUUUUUGUGAUUUAAAUUAAGUUAAAGUUUAUAUAAAAUUGAAAUAUUAGAUAAACUUAAUUUUUAAAAUUUUAAAAUUAUUUGAUAAAUAAUUAAAAUUAAAGAAUUAUCUUAUGUAUAGAUUAUGCAUGUAAGUAGUCAUGCAAAAAUGUUUAUUUGAUCAUAUAUUUAAAACUAUAUGAUGUGUCAUCAAAAUAAAUUGUACACAUAAGAUUACACAUAAGUAAAUCUUAUAAGAUAUUCAUAUAUAUUGUAAUACAAUAUUAUAUCUAUAGAUAAUAUCUAAUCAGAUAAUAAUAUUUAAAUUUUAGUGUUUUAUACAUUUAUCCUCCAAAAAAAAAUAUCUAAUCAGAUAAUUACUUGCUAACUCUAGACUCAAGAAAUUCCAUCAAAGUGACCACACAUGACUUAUUAGAGUUUAAAAAUUAUCUGACACGGAUUUUCUUCUUACGGUUAUUUAGUUGUGUAUUGUGAUUCAUCUACAUAAAUAAAUGAAACAAAUUUAUUGAGUUUAUUUUCUUAUUUGUUUUAAAAUCAUAAUAAAAAAAAUAUUAGCUUAAGUGGUUCUAAUUAAAUUUAGGGUAAAUUACAUAAAUAUACCUGAGAUUUAAUGCAAUUUGAGUUUGCCCCUUAAGGUUUAAAAAGUCACAUGAUCCUGAGUUGUGUAUAUGUGACAUUUCAUUAAUUUUCAUUAAUGUCAUUAACGCUUAAUCAAUAAACCAUAACUUUUUCCUUAAUUUUUUUUUUUCGUAUUGAAACUUUUCAAAGAAAAAUUAGGCUAAAAACAUGAAUUCCUCACAAUGUUCAGCAAGUGGGGGAUCAAAUGUUGAAAAAGUAUAUUAUUAUGGUGUGUGUCGUCAAUUGAUCUUCUCCCCAUUCCUCUUUCUGUCUCUGUUUUAAAAACCCAAAAAUUCCCUAAAAAUUUAAUCGAAACCCAUAGAAAAAAAUCCUUGUUAAUGAGUUAUUGUGGCUAUUAUGUGGAUUUGUGAUUGUUUUUGUGGGUUUAUUGUAUAUGAAUAAUUUAAGGUAGAUUUGGAUUCUAAGAGUUUUUUUUUUUUGUGGAUGCUAGGUUUGUUUCUAGGUUUCUCAAAUCAUUUUUUGUUGUCCUUGAGUUUUCUGUGGCUACCAAAUAAAAAUUGAUUGUUUGUUUGAUGCUUGAUACAAUUCUUAAUAGUAAAAAUUUCAUUCCUAAAAAGAUAUAAAACUUAAAAUUUGCAUACAAAUGGAUAAGUAAAAAAAUUGAAAAUCUCAAUCAAGAAUAAUCAACACAACCAAAGAAUACCAUACAUCCAAUAGCAAAAUCAAAAUUUUGUAUCUUGGUUUGAGAUUACUUUUUUGGGUUUGUGAAAAACAGUUUUUCAGUGGUUUUGGAUUUAGUUGUUUAGAAAGAGAAUUCAUUUGAUUUUAGAAAAAGAAUGAAUUGUAGAUAGAGAAGAUGAAUUAAAAAUGAAGAAGAUAAAAAAUGAAAAAAAUAACAAUUUUGGGUAAAUAUACAUAAAACAACAUUUUAAACUUCAUGGGGUAAAUUCAAAUCGCGUUAAACCUUAAGGUAUAUUUAUGUAAUUUACCCUUAAAUUUAUUAUGAAUUGAGAAAUAGAACAAAAAAGUUACAGUUGAUUUGAAAACAAAAAAAUCUUACCUCAUGAAGUGAAUAGUAUGCUUAGUAAAAUAGUACUUAUCAUCAUAAAAAACAUGUUAGUUGUCAUAGCAAGAAUAGACUAAUAAAAGAAAGAUUAAAUUAAUAGUAAAGAAAAUACAUUUAGGUUAUAUGCUUCCUAUGGCAUUGAAAAAUCUAUAUAACUAAAAACUAACAACAAUGAGAGCUUUCUUGAAGUUGUUCUGGUAUUUAUAUAUUUUUUCAUAUUUUUUUAUAAUAUUAAUAUUAAAAGUCUAUGAUAAAUAUUGAUUUAAAUUUAAAAUUUAUUUUAAUUAAGAUAUAUCUAAAUCUAUUAUUUUAAAAUUGAUUGAUUGUUAUUAAAAUUAUCUUUGUUUAUAACUAAUAUAUUUAAAAAUUGAAGAUAAUAUAAGCAUUAUUUAUAAAAAAUAUUAAAGAUAUUAAAUAAUAUUUUUAAAAGUUUUGAUAAAUUUAAAUAAUCAUGUUAAGUGCAAAUAAAUUAGAAAAGAUAAAUUAUUUUAAAAUUGAUUUUAAAUUGAGAUGAGGUGAUAAACAAGAGAAAAGAAUUUCAUUAGAAUUUACAUUAGUUUUUGAUUAAAUUUUAAAAUUUUAGAUAAUUUGAUAAUUUUUAAAAUAUAUAUUUUUUAUAAAUAAUUUAAAAUUAAUAAAUAUCUUAAGUGUCAUUAUAAUGAAAAAUUUACCAUAAUGAAAAAUUUUAGAAAUUAUUUUAAAUGUUGAAAAAAGAAACUGUUCACGUAAGUAUUAAUGUCAGCGAAUACUAUAUGGUAAUUUUGUAUAUUGUAAUAAAAUAUAUAUAUAUACUAUAUUAUAACCCGUGCGAUAUAUGGAAUAAUUUUAUUUAUUUAAUAUGAAUAUGUGUAUAUAUAUAAAUUAUUUUUUUUCAAAAUUAUAUAUAUACAAAUUAAUUUCUUUUUAAAAUUAUAUUCAAAUCUUUAAAACUCAUACCAUAUAUAAAAUUUAUAUAUAUUGACUUGUCAUUAAAAAUAAACUUGCUAAAAACAAUAAGAAAAAAAAUUAUGUCUUUCCUUUGGAUAUUUUUGUUUAAAAUUAUAUUUAGACACUUAUAAGAUUAUAUCAAAUAAAAAUAAAUUAUGCUUUUCUUUAAAAAAUAAAAAUAUAUAUUAUUAAAUGAUAAAUUAAAUAAUAAGAGAAAUAUUAACAUACUUUCACUUUAAUAAUCUUGACUAAAUUAUUAUGCAAAAUAUGAAAAAUGUUAAAAAAUAAGUGAAAAAAGAAAAACUAAAUUGAAAAAAAUAUUAUUUUUAAUAAGAAUGAAACUGUAAUAACAAUAAAAUAUAUUUUGAAAAAAAUUGUAGACAAAAAAAAUACAAAUUGCAACAGUAAUAGAAUAUACUUUGAAAAAAAAUUAUUGAAAAAAAAAUUGAUGUAUAUCACAUUACAUUUGUAAUAUUAAAUUUGUAAACGAAUUCUUUAGUAACAAUUAUGAUUAAAUAAAUAAUUUUAAUUAAUUUUUUAAAAUUUAAAAUGGAUAAUAAUAAGUAAUAAAGAUAAUAUUAAAAUUUUCGCAUUUAUUUGAAAUAUAAAUUUGAUACUUAGAGUUCAAAUGGAUAUAAUAAUUUUGAUGGUCUUAUUAUUUAAAAAUUUAAGAUGAAAAUUUUUUAAAUUUUCAAAAUCUUAUAUAAAAUUGUUUGAAUUUUUAAUAUUUUACGUAAAUUUUUUAAAAAGAUAAUUUUUAAAUCAAGAUAAAAAAAGAUUAUUGAAAGAUUUAGAUAAAUUUAAUCUUUGUAAUUUUAAAAUAUAUUUGAAAGAUUUUGAUAAUUAAAUAAUUUUUAAAUAAAAUGAUUUGAUAAACAACGAAAAUUAUUUAUUAAAAUAUAAAAUCCAUAUUUCAUAUUUUUAAUUUUAAAAAAUAUAUCUCUAAAUUGAUUUGAUUUUCAAUUAUAAUUUGAAUAAUUUUGAUAUUUGAAUAAAUUUAAAAAUAUAAAAAUUGUAAUUAAAAAAAUUAUCUUAUUUUUUUAAAAAACUAUCUUAUGUUUCAUUUAAGAGAGUUGUCCACGUAGAUGACCAUGUGACGAACUUGUUUAUGUAUAUUGUUAAUAUAUAUAUAUAUAUAUAUACAUAUUAGAUAUGAUAUAUGAUAUAUAUGAUAUCUUAUUAAAAAGAUUAAAUAAAAAAACACAUCGAUUGUCACAUUAAUAUUAAAAGAAAUAUUUUAAAAAUUUUAAAAAUAUAAAAUAUAAUAUUUUUAAAAAUUAAAAUAUAUAAAAUAUUUUUAAAAAUUAAAAAAGUAUGAAAACUUAAAAAAUUCAAAAAACUCAAAAUUUUAAUAAAAUUUUUGAAAAAUUCAAAAAAUAAAAAUAAAAAUAAAAUUUCUUAAAAUUUUAAAAAAAUUCACAAAAGUUGAAAAAAAUGAAAAUAAAAAAAUUUUAAAAUUUUUUGAAUAUUUUCAAAAAUGACAAAAAUUAAAAUUUUUAACAAACAUAUAAAAUUCUUAAAAAAUUCAUAACCAUUUAAAAAAAUUCAAAAAAAUAAAAAAUUUUCAAAAAUCUGAAAUAUUCUUAAAAAAUUAUAAAAAAUUAAAAAAGAUUCUGAAAAAUAAAAAAACUUAAAAAUUUAAUAAUAAUCUAAAAAAUUUAAAAUUGUAUGAUUCAAAACAAAUUUCGUAAUUUUCAAAAAUUGUUUACAAUUUUUUUUGAAAUUUUUAGAUAUUUUUAAAAAAAUUUAAAAUUUAAAAUUAAUUUUUUUUUAGAUUUUUGUGAAUUUUUUAAAUUUUAAGAAAAUUUUAAGAAUUUUUAUUUAAAUUUUAAGAUUUUUUGAAAAAUUUUAAAUUAUCAUAAGUUUUUAAUUUUUCUAAAUAUUUCAAUUUUUAAUUUUUAAAAAUAUUUAAAAUACUUAAAAUUUUGUUUUAAAUUUUGUAAAAUUUUAAAAAUUUAUUUGAUAUUGAUGUGAUAAUAAAUAAUGUGACAAUGAUUGAAUUCUUUUAACAUAUAUUAAUAUUUUAUUAAAUAUUCAUAAUGUAUCAACAAAUUAAUAAAUAACAUUAACAUCAAAUAUCAAAAUAAACAACAAAAUCAAAAUCAAAAUCAAAACCAUAAAAUUUUAUUUCUUUACAUACUAUUCUCACAAAAAUAUCUAUAAUCCAAGCGCCAUUUUUUUAUUUAACCCAAUUCAGACUCCAAACAAAAUCAGAAACCCAUACUGAAAAUCGACGAACUUCAUCAACCCCCUCCUUCCAAGGUUUAUAUUAAAAAAAAAAGCCUGAAUUGAAAAAAAACAAAAAAUUGCAGAAAGCACAAAACUUUAUAACCAUAUAUGAAAAAAAAGUAACCACUACACAUACAGAGAGAAAGAGAGUGUUACCUGGAUGAAGACAUAGAAGAUCAAAAGAACCGAAGCCAAGGUUUUGUUUGCACAUCACAUGCACAGGUAAAGAGAAGACUGAAAAUGGGAGAAAAUAUCAUGUGAUUAUCAUGUAUAUAUACAACGCCUGCUGCUUUUGCCACCGCCAUCGCAGAUACAAACUCCACUUUCCUCCCCUUUUCUUGUCAAAAAUGUUUCAGAAGAGGAAAAAAAAAUCAGAUCCGGCAGCUUCUUUUCUUCCACAACCAUUCUCUCUCCUUUUUUUUUUUAUACUCUUCUUCUCUUUUUGUCAUUGAGCACCUUCCCCGUUUUAGAGCUCUCUCUCCUCUCCUUUUCAUCAAAACGGUGAACGUUGCUUCAUCUAAACAAAAAAGAGAAGCCAAUCAUUGUGAGACGCGUGGCACGGAAGUAUAAGAAAAUGACGUUGUUUAGACACUGACAAAUAAAAGCACACGGUUCUGAUUCUGUCUUCCGUGGAAUGUUCUUUACUUUGCCCUUUCGAACAUCCUCUCCUUGUCCUCAAAGCCAAUGGCCCAACUCUCUUUGGGCUCCACAGUUUCUAUCUCUCGUUCUCGCCACAUCCGUCCUCCAGUCACCGCCCGCCACGUCAACAUCAGCACGACAACCACAAAACUAACAAUGCCCAAUCACCACCCAUCCCUGGAGGUCAUAGGCGGCGGACGUGAUCGCUUCCUCCAAGCUCUCCACACCACCCUCCGCCAGCCCUACAAUCCUUUCCCCCUCAUCACCUGGAAUCGCCACGUCGAGACCAUCUUCGCCUCCUUCUUCCGCUCCGUUCCCCAAGUCAGACUACGCCGAGAGUGCCUCCAAGUCAAAGAUGGCGGCUACGUCGCCCUCGACUGGGUCUCCGGCGACGACCGCCGUCUUCCUUCCGAUUCUCCCAUCCUAAUUUUACUGGUAACAUAAAAUCAACCAUCUUUUAGAAAAUAGUGUUAUAAAUAAAUUGUGUUAAUCCAAGAAACUUUGACUUCUUUUUAGCCGGGUUUGACUGGAGGAAGCCAGGAUUCAUAUGUAAGACAUAUGUUAACUAAAGCAAAAUGUAAAGGGUGGCGCGUUGUGGUUUUCAAUAGCCGAGGUUGUGGAGGUAGUCCAGUUACCACUCCCCAGGUAAUAAUAAUCCUUUCCUUUGUUUUCACUUUUUGCUGUUUCAUUUUUAAUUUUUUUAAUAAGAAAAGUUUUCGGAGAUUGGAUUUUUUAAAAAUUGUUUUAAAGAAAGAGAAUGUUGAUUUGAUUAUUAGAAUGACAUUGAUAUAUUAUAUAUGCAGUUUUACUCAGCUUCGUUUCUAGGAGACACGCGUGAAGUAGUGAAACAUGUCGGCGCUAGAUACCCGGAAGCUAAUUUGUAUGCUGUUGGUUGGUCUCUUGGUGCAAAUAUUCUUGUUCGAUAUCUUGGUCAGGUAAGACAGCAGCAUAACUGUGCAUAUUUGUUUCUUUUUUUUUUUUUUUUUAAUUUAUGAUGGAACUUUUUGCUUUAGUUGGUUGGUUUUGAUGUCAUUAGUAGAAAUGUGUUUGUUUAUUUGUUACGAGAAACUUCUAUUUUCUUCUUUUUACGAAGUUGUUAUUGGCAUUGUUCACUAAUUAUCUUCUUUUUUUUUUUUCUGAUUUCACGUAUUUGUAUUUUAUUGGGGCAGCUGCACUCCUCUGAAGAAUUUUCAUCUGUCAAGUUUAUUCAUUUCAUUGAUUUAAGAAAAGAUUUUUACAACUUGAGAUAGGGGAAAAGGUCUUGAUGAUUCUUGAUUGAGCACUUCAUUAUAACUUUGAAUGGAAUCCAUUUGGAAAUUCCAACUUUUCAAUCAGGGUAAAGUAUUGUAGGGAUAGAUUGCAGUCAGUUUACCCUAAUGUUUGGUAUGUAGAGGUUGACACUAAAAUAUGCCUUGAGUAGUUGUUUUUAAUCUGAUUUUGCUGCCGGCCUGCUCUAAGUUCACUGCUUUGGAGGAAAAAAAUUUUGUACUUUUUAUAUUUAAUGUUAGAUCUUUUUUUUUUGGUUCCAGUUCUGCUUCCUUUUCUCCAUUUUAUCACAGCAAUGUGUCCAUUUCAUCUGUCCUUUGACUGCAUUCCACUUGCAGGAAUCUCAUACUUGCCCCCUUUCUGGUGCUGUGUCAUUGUGUAAUCCUUUCAAUUUGGUCAUUGCUGAUGAGGACUUCCACAAGGGCUUUAACAAUGUUUAUGAUAAAGCUCUUGCUAGAGCCCUCUGUAAAAUAUUCCAGAAGUAAUCCUCUUAUAAGAUGCUUUUAGUUGAGCACCACUUUUAACAACGUGGUAUCCCAGUAUUCAGAAUUUCAUUUGAAUCUCUUGUGUUCUACAGGCAUGCUCUCCUAUUUGAAGAUAUGGAGGGUGAAUUUAAUAUUCGCUUAGCUGCUAAUGCCAAAUCUGUCAGGGACUUCGAUGAAGGAUUAACACGGGGCAUGCUCUUAACUAUGAUAUUCAUUUUGAAAAGAGAAGGGGGCAAGAUUGGGGUUGGGAGGUAGGGUCCAUAAUGAAACAUUAUUUGCUUAUAAAUCUUUCUACGUUGCCUUGCAGUUUCGUUUGGUUUCAAGUCAGCGGAUGAGUACUACUUUAAUUCAAGCAGUUCUGAUUCCAUAAAACAUGUUCAAAGACCGUUGCUCUGCAUCCAGGUGACAUAUUUGUGCCAAUUUUGAAAAUACGUUUCCUGAAUUUCUUAGUUACUAUUAUAUUGUUCAAUAUCAUCUUUAUGAUGUUGCUAUCUUAUAUGACAUACAUUAAACUUUGACUCUCAGCAUCAGCAGAUUCUUUUACUAAAAGAAAAGAAAAUUGACUCUCAGCAUCAGCAGAUUGUUUUACUAAAAGAAAAGAAAAUUAUCAAAUUUUCUUAGUUUUAUUUGUUUCCUGUUUAGUCCAUUCCACUUUUCUGCUAAUAGAGGAAGCAACAUUAUUGUGAGAAAUCUUUUACAACAUUCAAUUGAAGUCCAGUGAAGGACUAAUCUUUCGGGUAAACAUUAGGGAUUGGGGUGUUAUCUUUCAUUUUAUUCCUAAUACCUUUACUGAAAUUGACUCUUCUUACAAUGUGUAAUCUCAAAUUUUUUGCAUAAUCUAGAAGAUUGGAUGUCUUUAGUCAUCUGUUCAUAUUCUCAAGUCCAGAGCUUGCUGUUUGAAGAAGCUAUGAGAGUGAAAGCAGCUUAACUGAAUUGUGAGAGCUGAAUUUCAUAGCUCUAGUACAUGUUAUUUUGAUUCUUCACUUCUUGCAGUAGUCUUUGGUCCUUGUUACAUGAAUUUUGUGUGUAACACUUGUUUUUAAGCAUUGGAUUUGCAUGGCUAGCUUCAAUGUUCCAAUAUUGUAUAGCUCAUCUUUUAGUUAGGAGUUUCAUUCUUUUGGGGUUUCGAAGGUAUGUUUGAAAUGGAAAUUAAAUUCAACUUGUGUUUAAAAAUGUGCUAUUGCAGGCUGCAAAUGAUCCAAUUGCACCCUCUAGGGCAAUUCCUCGAGAAGAUAUCAAGGUAUGUUGAUUGCUUUCUAAUUUAUUGAGCUAUUGUUUUUUAUUUGAUUUUAAAUCAUUGUAAAUCCUCAAAGACAACAUGCAAAUAGCUUUCUAACUUGAUAAUAAACCAAAACUGCUUCUGUGUUAUUUAAGCAUUCUCGUUGACUGGACUACACCUGUAGACACAAGCCUACCUUUAUUAUAGCAUGGGUGAUUCUCACCAUAUAUGGCUGACAGAAAUACUCCUAUAUCCAUUCGAAGUCUUUUCUUCCAGCUCUCAUCUACAUUCUUUUAUCAAACUUUCAUUCUAAGAUAAUAUAAGGCCAGGGAUUUUUCCUUUGAACAAAACUCAACAUAAUUUAUCACAUCCCUUUUUACCACAUCCUAUUCAUCAGGCAUGAAUCUAGUUAUUCUCUUUCUCUUCAAAUAUUCGUUGCUAUGGGACAUUACACAAGUAGAUUUUGAAGUAUCAUGAUAUUUUUUCUAAUUUUGAGAAAUAGUUACAAGGUUCUCUCAUUUUUCCUGAGACUUUUAGCAGAACAUCCCAAAUAUUUCUUGGCAAUGGAAUGAACAUCCAUAACUAAAAGAAGUUCAAGAUUCUGCUGCUAUUAAAUUUGUUUCUAGGAACAUACAUAUGCGCUGUGUGUCAUUUUCAAUGAAUAAUUACUAGAGGUUAGUGUGUUUGUUAAUAACUAAUAAUUUGGCAAAUGUGAGCUUCCAAAAGACUAGAAGAGAUAAAAUAAAAAAUGAAGAGAUUCGAGAAAAAUUAAGGGUAGUCCAAAUUGAAGAGACGAUGAGAAAGGGAUGUUUGCGAUAGUUUGGACAUGUAAAACGUAGGCUUAGCUGCGCACCGGUUAGGAGAAUUGAGUCUCUAGAUCUAUGAGAGAUCAAAACAUCUAGAGGUAGACCAUGAAAGAUAUAGAUGCAAGUAAUAAAAAACGAUAUGAUAGUUAAAGAAUUAGAUGAAAAUGUGGUUGUUGAUAGAAAUGAGUGGCACAAGAGGAUUCAAACCACAACCUAAUUUGAUUUUUUAUUUGGUUUUUCAUACAGCCGACCUCAGAAUAUGGGAUAUAAGUCUUAGUGUGUUGUUGUUGUUGUUGUUGAGCUUCCAAAAUCUCUUAUGGUUCGUACUGAAAUCUGUAUGCGGUCAACGUAGCCAGUUAGUGAUACAGAAAAAUGUUGAAAUGUUUUGCCCCUUCCAAGAUAUUGACAUCUGGUAGUUGCUCUAUUCUCUUCAAAAUUCUAACAGUACAUUUUGAGAAUAUCAAGUUUAUAAUAUAUCUGCUGAUCAGACAAUGUAAAUCCGGGAGCUAUGUAUCAUUAAAUAAGAGUGAAAUUCUUUCAAUUCAGAAUAUUGUUUUGAACAGCUUUCCUCAGCUCUUUGGAUCAGUGGGAAUAUAUUUUAAAUUUGACCACAUGACAUCAGAUAUGCGCAAAUUAAUUUAAGCUACUGUUGUUGUCAUCUAUCAUUUUGGCUGCAUGGAAAGAAUGUAAUCCUGUGAAAAUAAUGUUCUUCUUCGUUUUAAAUUGCUGUAUCUAAUAAAAGAUUAUGCUUGCUCUCUCAGGAAAAUCCAAACUGCAUGUUGAUAGUGACACCUAAAGGUGGGCAUUUAGGGUGGGUUGCGGGUGCUGAGGCUCCUCUAGGAGCUUCUUGGACUGACCCUGUGGUAAUGGAUUUUCUCGAGCAUUUGGAAAGAAAUGCAUCCAAAACUGCUAGAUUUUCUUGUGACUCAGAAGCUGUGCAGCAUAGUUCAGAAGGCUUGCAUCACGUGGAAGCAUAGCUGGUAAAUUAUUUGCAAAUUCAUCUGUGCUUGAUCUGCCAUAUUAUUCGGUAUUACUAAUUUGAUUGUAACAUUAAGUUCAAUGUAGCAUAGCCAAUUCUUUAUUUUCAUGCUACUGUAGCUGCUGCAUCACAGCUGAAAAUCGAAUCCCAUUUUUAUGAUGACCUGAUGAUGCUUGAUGCUUGAUACUUGAUAGGUGCAAUUAAUUUUUUGAGGAACUAAAUAAUGAAGUUUCUCAAUUCGCCGGAUCAUCUUUUUCUGCAUUUGCUUAAUUUGUUGCUUUUGUCCUGAUAUUGCUUUUAUGUGCAAUGUUAACAAUGUCACCGUACCAUCCAGAAGAGCAGAAAAUGAUCUAGCAGGUUGCUAUGCAUCGCAUCCUGGAAGAGAAGGUAGAUAUCAAAGUCCGGUUUCGUGAUGUGCUUGAUUACCCUAUCGACAACCUUUUCCUGUCCAGGUUGAAUAUCCAUAAGAAAUGUGGAAAUUCCCAUUGCAAAAACAGAAUCUUAUAUCCUUUUUAUAUAAAGGAAAAUUGACCCCUCGUGGAUGUUUUAUCUCUUCACACCAACUGCCAUUUUCAUCACCAGAGCAUGAAUAUUCAUGAAUUCCAAGCAUAAAAAAAAGUUGAUUCCUUAUCUUUUUUGAAAUGGAGUUGAUAAAAUUUCUGUUAAAAUCAUUAUUCACUUCCAAUUAGGAGAUUAGACUAUGACGAACUGGAUUUAAUAAGCUUAACUGACCUGACAUUCUGACUCAUCUCCAUCUGAUUUACUAUGUAUUUUUUUUUUUUUGGCUAUAAUAGUCAAAUCGAAAUUGAUUUGCUAACGAAUAGUCUUGGGAAGCGACUGUGUCUUGACCGGGGUGAUUUUGCAAAAGUUCAAAGUUGAUAUUGAUUACCUAUAAGGGGUUCGGGUUCGUUAAAUUAAUUAUUGACAAAAAAAAUUUAGGUUUGAAUUUUAUCGAUGAUUAUUUAUUAAAAUUAUUUUAAAUGUAUAAUAAUAAUUUAUUUUAAAUUAUUAAAUAUGAUAUAUUUUAUUUUAAUUUAAAAAAUUAAAUAAUUUAUCGAUUAAAAUUUUUUUUUUACAAAAAAAACAAAUUGAUAUUGAUUAUUGAGUAUGAAAUUGGACGUUUUGGAAGUCAAUUUCACACUUGUAUUAGUCUAACCAAAAACGUGUCUACCAAGUUAAAAGAAGCAUGGAAAUUUUGACUCAAGGAAUGGAUGUUUGUGUAUGAAACUUCCAAAGCAUCUAAAAAUAUAUGAAGAAUUGUCAUUAAUUAUUGUUCGGGGACCAGACUAUUUCCAAAUACCAAGGUAGGAAGGACAUAUAACUUUAUAUUUUUAAUCACAAACGUGUUUUAUUUCUUUUGAAAAAAAAAAAAAUCAAACAUGACAUUUAUACAUUAUUUAUAUCAUUGAAUAACAUUGAUGCUCUUUCCGGUUGGGUGAUUGAGAUGCUUGCCGGCUGUUGAAAGCUGGGUGGCUGAUCUGGCCAGUUACAGAGAAAAAGAUAGGGGUAUUAUAGGUUUCACGCGGGGUGCAUUUCGACCCUAAAUCAAUAAAGUAUACAAGGGAAGGAAGGGAGAGUCAAACAGAGAGAGAGAGAGAGAUGGAAAGGCUUGAGGAAAGUAGAGAGUGUGAAAUUGAGAAUCCAAUCUCUCUUUAAUUCAAUUUUACUUUUUAUAUUUUACGGAUAAUAAUGUGACAGUUAAAGAUGUUGCUGACGUGACAAUCAACAGUAGGCAUAACAAUUUAAAUAUUUAAAUAUUAUUCUAAUUAAAAAAUUAUAUCAAUAAAUUAAAGAGGAAAACUGUUUGAAUAAUAUGAUUGACAAGGUUUCAAUGAAAAAGAAGAAAAAUAUUGAAAUUAACUUCUACGAGCUUAUCACCAGAUAUGAUUAUAGCUUUUGAAGUCCAAGGGACGGAACCAUGUUUUUGUUUGUGUCCGUCUGAGCUUAUAUAGGAGGAUGGAGAUCUACGGAGACACCAACAUGUCUGGCACAAUGCAAAAUUUAUAAAACCUAAGAACAGAUCAUGGAUGGAGGUCUGGGCCUACUCAUGUCCCUUCGAAGAUGAUAUCAAUGCAUGUUUUCAGUUAUUAGGGUUUGGAAAAAUAUGAAAAAGUAAAAUGUUCAUAGCAUUAUAACCCAUUAUUUGAUGCGUAGUUUUUUUUUUUUUGCCAAUCUACUUUACUAUUUAUCAUGACAAAUGGUCUAAUUUGAAGAAGUUGGUUUCCCAAUUUUCCAUAUAUUAUAUAUGGAACUCAUGAGUCUUUGAUCAUAUUAAAAAAACAUAAUAACAAAAUAAAAUCAAGAAAAUAAAAAAAGCUGAAGAAAACAGUGAGCCUAUAUCCAACGAAAGACACCAAGUGGCUGGGUCCCUAAUCCUCCGAUCUGCUGCAUCUAGAGCUAGACGUUAGCCUUAGUGGCUUUAUGCAAUUGUCUCGUUUCUUUUGCCAAUUUGCUGCAGCCCAUCGACGCACACAUCUCUGUAUCUCUCCUACGAUCCAAUUAUAAUUUUUCCAAAAUUAUACUAUUAUUAUAACUCAUCUUUAAAACGUUCUCUUUCUUAUAUAUUUCCAUCUACUAUCUUGACUUAGUCGUUUUUUGGCAUUUGCAUUGCCUAAUUUAAUUUAAUAUACUUCAAGAAUUCAGGUUGGUUAUACGUAUAGUCGGAAAAUGAGGGGGAAAUUACUCACAUGAAUCUUUUAUUACUUGAAAUUGCAAUUUUUAUAUCUCUUUUUUUUGGAUAUUUUAUUUAUCACCAUCACUAUUCAUACACAUUAGCGUGUGGAAUUAGAGGGAAAACUUUAGUAUCAUACCUUUUUUGACCAUGCAAAGCACUUGUUAGGUAGUUAAUUUUAUAUAUAUCAGUUGCAUUUGCAACUUUAUCUUCUUUCUUUCUUUGUUUAUUUACUUUGUACAUUUAUAUAUUUUAAAUUAACCAUGAAAAUAUAUAUCGAAGCUAAUUACAAUAUUAUUUCUUUGACAGAAAUUAAGUUGCAUCAUGCAUGAUUCAUGUGCCCAAAGUAUGAACCAAAAAAAAAGAAAGAAAUGAUUCUUCUGCUCAGCAUACUUCAUAUAAUAUUAAUUAAGCUCUAAGCCUUUAACUGAUGAGGAUUUCAGUAUGUGAGUCAUCCAUGUGAAAGCCUUAUUAAGAUUGUUUUAUAAUAGCAUAUAUAUAAUUAUAUAUAUAUUGUUAGAAAAUUUAAGACAACAAAAAUAAUAAGAAAGAAAAAAAUAUGGUUUUGAGACGUAAAAAACAUUAUCUUAAAGACAACUAUGCUUAUAGAAUAUGAUAAAAUUUUUAAAACCCUCUAAAUCAGAAGUAGUAAAAUUGGUCAAGCAGAAAAAUUUAUUUAUAACAAAUAAACAGUCACCAAUCAAACUAAUUCAAAAAAUCAUGACAUUUUAUAUAAUCAUGUUUUAUUGUUUAAACAAACUUUAUUUGAAUAGUUAUAUUUUUCUGUUCAGACAUAUUUAUUUGGACUAUUAUAUUUUUCUCUGUUCAAACAUGUUUAUUUAAAAUUAAUAAUAUUUUGAAAUAAAAAAAUUAUCCAAAGUGACUAUCUUUAACUUUUAAAAUUGUCUGACUUACUAGAAAAACUCAUAACAAUCCAAAAUAACUUUGCCCACUCUAAUAUUUAACUCAAUUACUUAAGUAAUAUAAAGAAUCUCUUUUAAAUCAUAUAUAAAUGAUCUUUCUACUCAAUGUGAGAUAUAUCAUAUUUUAAAUUACCAACAUAUAUAUAUCACCAAAUCUUAUUUUUAAUUGAAUGGAUUUAUGAAGAAUAAAAUUCUAAAAUUAAGUCAUAAAUGAAAAAUAAUUGUUAUUUAUGAAAUAACAUAAUUAUUUUGUGAAAAAAAAUUCAAUCAUAUAUUUAAAUAUUUCUUUUGUUAAAAAAAAAAAAAAACCCUACAAAACCAUUAUAAGCAGAUCUGUAAAUAAUUAAUAAUAUGAUAUUCUAAUUUGAAUAUACCGAUUUCGAAUUAUAUAAGAGGGAUAGAAUUCGUAGAAUAAGACUAGUAGUUGAUUCAUAUGGUCAGCAAGGUAUUAAUUUCGACUGAUAAGAAAAAAUAUUUAGGUAACGCCACGUCAGAUAAUCUUUUUAUAUUUCCUUUAAUACUCUCUCUUGCAAAAUCUAAAAGUCCACCAUUUUCGCUCAGUUCUUUGCUUAUAUAUAGCUUCCUAACCCUAUAUCUCUUCACCUAUCCGCUCUUUAAUUCCUUCUCUUGCAAAGAUUCCUGGGAGAUUUGUUCAUUCUUGAUCCCGUUCCCUUCAGAAUUAAUUAUGGCAGAAUCCCAAAGUCGUAGCUUUGGUUUUGCAGGGAAGAAGAGAGCAUCAGGGGCUGAUGGAUUUGAGGGGAAUGAUCUUUUCAUGGCCAAGAAAUCAAUGUUACCAACACUAGCACCAGCAUGGGAAAAUGACCCUGCCGCUGCAUUAGCCAGCGCGCGCCAUGAAUUCGGUGAGUAUGGUGGCGUUAACAUGUCCAUUGAAGCCUCCGCCACCUUUACUGUCAUGGAACCUGAGACCAUGCGUCGCAUGUUCGCUGGUGAACUCGGCCCUGAUCGUGAUUUCUUCAUUUAUAGUCGUCAUUUCAACCCCACCGUCUUAAAUCUCGGUCGUCAGAUGGCAGCCAUGGAAGGAACCGAAGCUGCCUAUUGCACUGCUAGCGGUAAAUAAUUUUUAUGUUUAACUUUCACCUUUCAUUUUACACGCAAAAAUCUAAAACAUAUUAUUAUCAAAACCAACAAUUUGUGGUAAUAUAUAAUCUGAUUUCGUGAUGACAGGUAUGUCUGCUAUAUCAUCCGUUCUGUUGCAACUCAGUAGUAGCGACGGACACGUGGUGGCAUCGAGGACUCUCUACGGCGGGACCCAUGCACUUCUAACUCAUUUCUUGCCCAGAGCCUGCAACAUCACGACCACGUUCGUGGACAUAUGCGAUCACGAAGCCGUAAAAAAUGCCAUCCUCAAAGGACGGACCAAAGUUUUGUUCUUCGAGUCCAUGUCGAACCCCACACUCACCGUAGCCAACAUUCCGGAGCUAAGCAGGCUAGCACACGACAAAGAAACCAUGGUGGUUGUAGACAACACCUUCGCUCCCAUGGUUCUUUCCCCUGCUCGGCUUGGUGCUGAUGUGGUUGUCCAUAGUAUCUCCAAGUUCAUCAGCGGUGGAGGCGAUGUUAUUGCAGGUUUGUUUGUCGUAUGUUUCUCAUUUACGGUACACGCGUCUGACAUAUCAUCUCAUUGUUUUACGUCGGAAAAAGAGCCAUCAGUGACGUUUUAUCCUUUGAUUAAUUAAGUUAAAUAGUGGUAUCUAGGAAAUUGUUUUCAGAGUUUUGAUGAAAACUGCAUGCCUUCUUUAAAAAAAAAAAAGAGGAGAGAACAGAAAAUACUAUGAAUUGAGGAUUCAUAAUCGUAAAAUAAAAUGAGAAAAAAUAUGGUCUUCCGCAUUCCAAAAGUUCGGAUUCAUGAAAGGCAAACGAAUAGAUAUCUGGUAUGAAAAUAAAAACUCUAUAAAUAAUGGAUCGAAAAAAUGUUUUAGGCUAGUGGGGGAACAUGUUCUCGUGAAUGAUGAUAUAAGGAAUAGUUAAACUUUUAUUGGCCUAGUGUUAAAAAGAAAGCUUAACAAGACAUGUAAGAUAGAAGUUCGAACUUAUCAUCCCAAUUCUCCGAUCCUUUGGAUAAAAAAACUUUAAAAAAUAGUUAAGUUUGGUUUUCUAACUAUCUUUUUUAUGGCUGAUAAGGAUACUCUCCGGCAAUUUCACUAAUUUUUCAAAUUUUCACUGAUAAUAUCAUCAUCAUGGAUUUGAGGUGUGCAUUCCGAUCCUCCUUUGCCUCUUAUGGAUAAGCUUUCAUGUGAUGGGUUCUGUCUUUUUUAUUUUUGCGAUAAAUUCUGUCUACAAACUUAAAAUUUCAGGGCCUUAAAAUUGACAUUUUCUAGUUGAAAAGUAAAAGUGUCUCUUUUACAAAUUCUUUUAAUAAUCGUUUGCCCUAAUGUUAUUAGUAGCUAACUUCUAGGCAAAACAAACUUGCCAAAACCAUUAGUUCUUGUGAAAUAUAAAAUCUUUUUUUUAGUACCGUUUCAGUUUCUUGUAUUGGAAUAUAGUAACUAUCAUUGUCAGAAUUGUAGGCAGUAUUUUGUUAAUCCAAUAAAAUGGCAACUUUCAGGUGCUGUUUGUGGUCCAGGAAGGCUGGUGAACUCCAUGAUGGACCUUCAUCAAGGUGCUUUGAUGCUCCUAGGCCCGACCAUGAACGCCAAGGUUGCCUUCGAACUCUCUGAAAGGAUCCCUCACUUGGGCCUACGAAUGAAGGAGCACAGUCGCAGAGCCAUGGAUUAUGCCGCUAGAAUGAAGAAAUUGGGAUUCAGGGUGAUCUACCCGGGCCUUGAGGAUCACCCUCAACACGAGCUGUUGAAGUCCAUGGCCAACAAGGAAUAUGGGUUUGGUGGUCUUCUUUGUGUUGACAUGGAAUCUGAAGAAAGAGCUAACGGGCUGAUGGACCACUUGCAAAACUACAGUCAAUUUGGGCUCAUAGCGGUUAGCUUAGGUUACUAUGAGACUCUGAUGUCAUGCUCUGGUAGUAGCACCAGUAGUGAAAUGAAUGAUGAAGAGAAGGCACUUGCCGGUAUUUUGCCAGGGCUGGUGAGGAUGUCCAUUGGAUAUAUUGGGACACUGGAGCAGAAGUGGAGCCAAUUAGAAAAGGCGCUAUCUAGGAUGCACGAUUCCACCUCAUUCAAUGAAAACUAAAGUUCUUUCAUCUCGUGUUCAAUAAUAAGUUUGCCGUAGUUUACGUAAAGAAGGUUUUAUUUUUGGUAUUUCAAUUGUUAAAGGCUGGACCUUUUGCGUAAUAUAAUGUUUUUUAGAAAAGGAAAAUAUAAACUUGAACUUCAACAAGUCUUCUCUAGAUGCAACAACUUAGAACAAAAGUGAAGAUAAAAUAUACCAUAAGUUGCGCUUUCUUUGCCGUUGAUUCUCUUUUCAAUUUGACUUUGCCCAUAUUCAACGUUGAGCUUUAUCAUCUUCCUAGAAUUUGUGUCCAAACGAAAGGUGGAGGAGAAGAAAAAGAAUCGCUGAGUCAGCUAUCCAGUGUCCAAACGUGAACCAAUGGUUUUUUCUUCUGUAAACAAUGUUCUUGCCGUCGGGCCCUGCAACUAUGGCAUGCUACAGCCCAAAGUUCACUAUUUUUAAGUGAAAGUCUGAAACACAAAACUCGUUCAGGCCAGUGUUUAGAAUCAACCAACUUUUGUUAAGAGUUAAAGGUAGCAGAAGUAAAGAUCAACUGAUCAAGCAAGUACUUAUCAUCAUCAAAAAAUCAUAUGAAGAGGGUCAGGACCAAGAAAACUGGGGUUCAAUAAAUUAUUUGCCAACCAAAUAUAUGGGCCAAAUAGAUGGGCUUCAUUUAACAAAAAUUUAUAUAUCAGAUUCCAUUGCCCUGACAGUUUUUUAUUGGGCUUACAACCCAAAGAAAUAAAGCUAAUCGAGGCUUUUCUUAGGACCAAUUCCUAUACCAGCAUUCAUCGAAGAGAAAAGGAUAUACGAAAAUAUGCUAAUGAUUAUAUUAAAAUGCUUUUUAAAAACUUAGCUUAGUCGAAUUCAACCGAUAUUAACAUGACAGAUUUAAAUAUAAUAAUGGAGGCUUGUCAAACGUGUUUAUUUUUUGGGAAAAAAAAUUCAAAAAUGGCAUAGAUACAUUAGUUAUAUUUUUUGAUUAAAUGGCAAUUUUAUUUAUCCAAGAAGUAAGAAAGAUAAACUUGCUACAAAAAAAUUCAUCAAGUAUAAUGGGUACCAGCUAUUAUAUAUGUACAGAUAAAGAAUUACAAAGUUCAUAGUGUAUAAAAAGUUUCCGAAUUAUAAUUAAAAAUUAUUUAAUUUUUAUUUAAUUUUUAUUGUAAUUAAUCAACUCCUUCAAUAUUUAUUUGCAUCUAAUUAAAUUUUUAUUUAGUUGAAAAAGUUGACAUCGUUAGUUAUUUUUGUGAAAUAAGAUAAACUUUUAUUUGACAUCAAUAAAAUUGAUAAGAAUAUGUCACAUGAGACAUUUACAUUAAGAAUAUUAGGAUCACUUACAUUAGUGUAAGUUUUGCAUUUGUUUAACUUUUAGAUCAAAAUUAAAUCCAUGUCUAUUUUGAAUUCUUUUGUCUUAACUAUUUAGAUCAAUGAUAAAAAAAAAAUAAAAUUAAGUGGAUCUCUUUUUAUAUAUAAAAUUUUUCGUAUUCAAAAUUAUACUAUUAUAUAUGACUAUUUAAUGUUAAUAGAUCAAAGCGUUGAGAUUAAACUGUUUUUUCUCAUUUUUACUUAUUUAUCUUAUUCAUUGGAUCUAUUAAAAUUAAGAAAUAGAAAAUUUUGUAAAAUUAAAAAAAAUUUAACACUAUAUAAGUUAUACCUCCCUAUAUAUAUAUAUAUACAUUUACACUUGCAUCAUUUAUCUUCUUUAUUUAUUUAUUUUUGAAUGAAUUUAUUUUCUUUAUUUGUUUGUUUAUUUCCUAAAUUUAAAUCAUGAAAUUAAUUAUAUAUUGAAGCUAAUUACAAUAUUAUUUGUUUGACAGAAAUUUAAGUUGCGUCAUGCAUGCAUGAUUCAUGCAUGUGCCCAGCGUAUGAACAAAAAAGAAAUGAUUUCUGGUCUCAACAUACUCCAUCAUAAUUACAAUAUUAGUAGUAUUUCUUUAUGGCUUUGACGAAAAUGACAAACUCUUCUUUCCUUCCUUUAAGCCCUCGAAGGGAUAAAUGAACGUAUGGAGGUACAAAGCUGGAACUAAGAAGAGUUUCUCUUGCAUUUAUGAUCCAGGAUCGAUCUAAGACACUCAACCUUAAAAAAAAAAAAGAGGCGGUGGCCUGCUGGUUGAUCAGAUAAGAACACCCACUCACCGUUGUUGUCAACAAAUAACAAGUGUCCAUGGUUCUCAUUCGUCAGGAUUUUGAUGAAGGAAUUCAUAGCCCCACUUGGAUUGUGAUGUGCUUACAAUUUGCUCGGAAGGGGAUAUGAUUUUUCUUCUUUUUCAAUUUCUCACUCUUUUCAUUUUUUAACAAGGUUUUAUCAAUGAAAACGUGGCAUAUUGCAGUUGCAGAUCAUGUCCGAAUAAGUCAAGAUCCAAACCAGAAAAGAAAAGAAAAGAAAAGAAAGGGAAUUAAAAUCGUACUGGCAUUACAUAAGUUGGAAUGAAAGGAUAUUCCGUAGGGAAUUGAAAAUUCUCAAAAUAUAUUAGUUGUUAAAAUUAAUUUCAUUCAAAUUUUGGUUAAAAACAAAAGUCAAAAUAGAGACCACACAAAAACGACAAAACAACCUUGCAAUUAACAAACGACACUGUUAUGAAAAUUAAUCCUUUAAAUGUAUGGUUCUUUCCCCUGCUCGGCUUGGUGCUGAUGUGGUUGUCCAUAGUAUCUCCAAGUUUAUCAGCGGUGGGAGCGAUGUUAUUGCAGGUUGGUUUGUAGUAUGUGUCUCAUUUACGGUACACGCGUCAGACAUUAAUCUCAUUUUUUUACGCUGGAAAAACAGCCAUCGAUGACAUGUGUUUUCAGAGUUUUGGUGAAAACUGCCCACUUCCAAAGAAAAACCGAAAAUACUAUGAAUUGAGGAUUCAGAAUCAUAAAAUAAAAUGGGUAAGGAAUAUAGUCAUGCACGUUCCAAAAGUUCGGAUUCAUUAAAGGCAAACGAUCGAAUAUGAUUCUGGUAUGAAUAUAAAAACUCUAAAUAAUGGAUAGGAAAAUUGUUUUAGGGCUAGUGGGGGUGGGGGAGGGGAACUUUUCUCGUGAAUGAUGAUGCUAUUACGUACCGGUAACUUGCAAAGCAGGCAAAUAUUAUUCAAACACAAAUUCUCCUGUUUCUACUUUAAUAAAUAGAUUAAGCCAAUGUAUUAUAUAUAAAAUUAUGAUAAGAUAAAAUAAUAUUAUAAAUAAAAUAAAAUAAAAUAAUUUUAUUUUAUAUUUGAUAUGUGUAAAAAUUAUAAUAAAAUAAUUUAUUUAUUGAUCAAAUUAUUUUUUAAAAAAUUUUAUAUAGUUUAAAUUAUUAAUAUAAUUUUUAAAAAUAUAAUAAAAUAUAUAAAUUCAAUCUUAUAAAUUAAAAAUAAUUUUUUUACUUUAAAAAAAUUAAUUAUCUUACAUUAAAAAGACGAUGAUUUUUUUUAUAAUCAAAUUAUAGUUUUAAAUAUAAAUUAAAUAUAAUAAAAUAAUUAUCAUUUUAUUUUAUAUAUUAUUCUGUACAGCAAAUAUGACCUUGAUUCGUUUUCUAACUAUCUUUUUUAUGGCUGAUAAGGAUAUUCUCCUGCAGCUGCAACUUCACUAAUUUUUCAAAUUUUCACCGAUAAGGAUUCCAUCAUUGUCAGAGAAUCCUGGUAGUGUAGGCAAUAUUUUGUUAAUUCAAUAAAAUGGGAAUUUUCAGGUGCUGUUUAUGGUCCUGCAAGCCUGGUGAACUCCAUGAUGGACCUUCAUCAAGGUGCUCUGAUGCUCCUAGGCCAGACCAUGAACUCCAUGGUUGCCUUUGAGCCCUCUGAAAAGGAUCCCUCACUUGGGCCUUAAAUGAAGGAGCACAGUGGCAGAACCAUGGAUUAUGCCACUAGAAUGAAGAAACUGGGCCUCAGGGUGAUCUACCUGGGCCUUGAGGAUCAACCUCAAGACGAGCUAUUGAAGUCCAUGGCCAACAAGGAAUAUGGGUUUGGUGAUCUCCUUUGACAUGGAAUCUGAAGAAAGGGCUAACAGGCCGAUGCACCACUUUCAGAACUACAGUCAAUUUGGGUUCACAGCGAUUAGCUCGGGUUACUAUGAGACUCUGAUGUCUUGCUCUUGUAGUAGUACCAGCAAGGAAUUGACUGAUGAAGAGAAGGCACUUACCGGUAUUUCGCCAGGGCUGGUGAGGAUGCCCAUUGGAUACAUUGGGACACUGCAGAAGAAGUGGAGUCCAUUAGAAAAGGCGCUCUCUAUUAUGCACGAUUCCACCUUAUUCAAUAAAAACUAAAGUUCUUUCAUCUCGUGUUCAAUAAUGGGUUGGUCGUAGUUCAUGUAAUGAAGGUUUCAUUUGUUCUAUUUCAGUUGUUAAUGUAAGUCAUAGAGAUAAUAUAGAUGGUUAAAAAAAAAAAAAAGAAAAGAACUAUAUAUAUGUAGAAGUGUGGAUCGAAUAAAUUUGGAAUUAAUUCUGUAAAUGUUCAUGUAGACAUUAAUGCAAAUUUGAAAAAACAUAUAUGAUUUGUGUUGUCAUAUUUUUUAUUUUUUAUAAAAAGGAGAUUACAAUAUGAUGAUAAAAAAUCAUGAAAAAUAAGCUAUAACGACUUACUGGAUGCCAUUUAAAUUGUCUAUACAUGCAAAAUAUCACAAAAAAUAAGUUAUCAUGUAUAUUUUGUUUCUCUCUUUUUGUUUCUUUUGUAUACUUUAUUUAUCAUCAUCACUGUCCGGAUAUACAUUAGCAUGUGGAAUUAGAGGGAAAAUUAUACUAUCAUAUCUUUUCUGACUAUGCAAAACUUAUAUAUACAUAUAUAUAUAUAUAUAUAUCUGUUGCACUUGCAUCCUUAUCUUAUUUAUUUGUUUGUUUAUUUCCUUUGUAUCUAUACAUAUUUAAACCAUAAAAUUAUAUAUUGAAGCUAAUUACAAUAUUAUUUUUUUAACAGAAAUUCAGCAUGAUUCAUUCAUGUGCCCAACGUAUAAACAAAGAACGAAAUGAUUCUUGCUCUCAACAUACUCCAUCAUGAUUACAAUAUUAGUAGUAUUUCUUUUUGGCUUUGAUGAAAAUGACAAAGUCCUCCUUGAAUUUGUUAGAAAAAUAAGGUCCAGCCUCAUGUAAGUGGUUUUAGACCAAGUAAAGGUUAUGAGCCUUGAUCUUUCAUUUUACACAGACAUAUAGUUACUUAAUAAAAAAGAGGUGGGGUUAUUUUAAGUGGGUGUCGAAAACCAAGUAAAGAAAAAAGAAAAGUAAAAAAAAAUAGAGAAAAAAGAAAGAAAGAAGAGUUGGUUGAACAGAAGUCGAUCUGUGGUCCGAUUGAGUUGGAACCUUGUCAGGAGGUUUAUGAUUCAGAGUUCUACAUUCUGAACGGUGAAGAUCGAGUAUAAAGCUCUCUAGGAACAAAUCCAUGGUGUAUUUAUUGAGUAACUUAUUUGGUUAGAUUUCUCAAAUUGUUUCUCUAGUUGUUGAUUAGCUCUAGUUUUAGCUAGAGAAGAACUUUGUAUACCUAUUAUUUGAUAGUGAAGAUUUUUCUGGUGGUUCGUGAUUUUUUUCUCUACAUUGGAGGGUUUUUUACGUAAAUCUUGGUGUACUUUAUUUUUUUUUGCGUUUUUUGAUUACUGAUUGUUGUCUAUUAUUUCUGUAUUAUUAUGAUUAUUACUUCAGGUGCAACAAGUGAUAUCAGAAUGAGGGUUAUUUUGAAACAUCGAUACAUAAGCAACCUCGGAUAAAAGUAAAUUAUGUUUGAGAUCAUGAAGGGUGAUACAGGUUUCUUGAUAAAAUUAACAACAUCGAAUUAUUCAAUUUGAAAGUCUAUGAUGGAGGAUCAUCUAUACUGUAAAGAUUUGUAUGAGCCAGUAUUGGGUGAUUCAACUAAACCAACAGAAUAAAAGAUGAAAGCUGAAAGAAGCUAGGUAAAAAGAUGCUAGCUACAAUCAAAAAAUAGGUUGAUAUAAGUGUGUUCCAUCAUGUAACGCAGGAGUCAGAUGCUCACAUUGUUUGAAAAAAAUUGACAGCAUUGCAUGAGAGAAAAAUAGGUAUGAAUAAAGUUAUGCUUGUUAAAAAGCUUACAAUUUUACAGUACAGGGAUGAACGAUCUGUUACAAAGCACUUGAGUGAUUUUCAAGAUAUAUUUAAUCGGAUGACUACUAUGGUACUUAAGAUGGAUGAUGAAAUGAAGACGUUAUUUCUUUUGGGUUCAUUGUCAAACAGUUGAAAUACUCUAGUUGUGACUGUUCUUAAUUCAGCUCCUGAUUAUAAGGUGACAUUGGAAAUGGUAAAGGACAAUAUGCUUAAUGAAGAAGCAAGAUGAAAAGAUGUAGACCCUGAAAAUCAAGCUCUGGUCACAGAAAACAGGGAUAGAAAUAUCGACAGAGGUCAUGACUCAAAAAGUCAUAGUAAGUCUAAACAUAGAUCCCAGUCUAGAGGUAAAGUGAAGUGUUGCUAUUGUGGUAAGGCAUGUUAUAUAAAAUGAAACUGUAAAAUCUUGAAGCAAGAGCGAAAAGAUAAGAAAGGUAAGAGUUCAGAUGAUGGUAACGUUAUAGCAGUGAAUUCAGAUAGUGAUUCAGUUACUUUGAUUUGUACACAUGAUGAUUGUAAUCAUAUUAGUGAUCCCGACAUUAAGUGGAUAGUUGACACAGGAAUAACAUAUCAUUGUAUUUCUAAGAGAGAGUUAUUUACAACUUACAAAGCAAGAGACUUUAGUUGUACUAAAAUAAAAAACAUGAGUGUGUCGUAGAUUGUUAAGAUUGAUGAUAUUGUUGUACAAACUAGUACAGGCUACAUGUUAACUUUGAGGGAUAUCAGACACAUUUCAGAUAUGAGAAUGAACUUGCUUGCUAUUAAUAUCUUUGAUAAGGAGGGAUAUGAAAGUCGACAAAAGAAUAGACAAUGAAAGCUUUUCAAAAGAUCUAUAGUAGUUGCAAGAGAAAAAUUAUGCUGCACAAUAUAUAAGACAUGGAUGUAAUUGAACGGUAACCAGGUAAAUGCCAUUAAAAAUGAUGCUUCAACAAACUUAUGGCACAGGAGGCUAGCACACAUGAGUGAAAAAAGUUUACAGGUUUUGGCAAAGCCAUCUCUUAUUUCCUUGACCAAAAGUAUGUCUCUCGAUUCAUGUAAUUAUUGUUUGUUUGGUAAGCAUCAUAGAGUUUUUUUUCGUAAAAGUUCUCAGAGAAAAAAAAGAUUGAAAUUAAUUUAUUCUGACAUAUGUGGUCCCAUUGAGGUUAAGUCAUUAGGUGGUAGCAGAUAUUUUAUUACUUUUGUUGAUGAUGCUUCACGUAAGACUUGGGUGUAUAUGUUGAAAUACAAAAGUCAGGUACUACAGUAUUUUUAAAAAUUUUAUAUCAUGGUUGAAAAGAUGACAAAGUUAUCCUUGAAGUGUAUUCGAACUGAUAAUAGUAGGGAAUACACAUCUAAAUGCUUUGAAGAGUAUUGUUCAAAGUAUAAGAUCAGGCAUAAGAUGAUAGAACCUGGAACACCGUAGCAUAAUGGUAUAACUGAAAGAAUGAAUCGUACCAUUAUGAAAAAAGUCAAAUGUAUGUUGAGGAUGAAAAAAUUACCAAAGCCAUUCUGGGGUAAAACAGUUAACACGACUUGUUAUUUACUUAACAGAUCACCAUCAGUUCUUUUGAGCUUUGACAUUUCAGAAAGAGUGUAGACAAGAAAAGAUACUUUAUACUCUCACUUGAAAGUUUUUGGGUGUAAAGCAUUCAUGCAUGUGUCGAAAGAGCAGAGAUCAAAGCUUGACAGUAAAGCCACACAGUGUGUGUUUGUAGGAUAUGAUGAAAAAUUUGAUUACAGGGUAUAAAAUCCAGUAAAGAAAAAGACAAUCAAAAGUAAAGAUGUAAUCUUUCAUGAAAAAAAAAUCAUAGCAGACCUUGAAAAAAAUGAGAAGACUACACGAGUUACUGUUGAGUAUGAUAUUUUAACACCGACAGAGAUUCCACAGAAAGAGCCACAAAUGGUGAAAAUGAGCAAGAAACAGAACUUGGAAAUAUGAAUAAGCUAGCCACAGUUGGUGAUGAGCCAGAUGUAAUUAGUUUUGAACAAGAUGAGCAAUCCUCUCUACCUGAGAGUGUUGAACAUGAGGAGUUACCUUUGGCAUCAAGUGAUAUAGAAUCUCAGCUUAGGAGAUCUACUAAAGAGUACAAGCCAUCUAUCAGGUAUCUAAGUUCAGAUUUUAUUUUAGUUACCAGUAAAUGAGAGCCAGAAAGCUUUCAAGAUGUACAGGCUAUUUCGGAUAGAGAGUACUGGUUAAAAGUAAUAAAAAAAUAGAUGAAAUCAUUGCAAAAGAAUGAUACUUACGAUCUUAUUAAACUUCUAACAGGGAAGAGGCCAUUAAAGAAUAAAUGAGUAUUCAAGUUGAAAAAAGAUGGUGAUAAACUAGUGAGGUACAAAGCUCGAUUGGUAGUAAAAUGGUUUUCUCAGAAAUCGGGCAUCGAUUUUAAUGAGAUUUUUACUCCAGUUGUAAAGAUGAGUUCUAUUCGAGUGGUACUGGGAUUAAUAGCUAGUUUAAAUCUUGAGCUUGAGCAACUUAAUAUUAAAACUAUAUUUUUGCAUGGUGAUUUACAUGUGGACAUUUAUAUUAAUCAGCUUGAGGGUUUUAAAGUGAAAGGGAAAGAGCACUUAGUUUACAAAUUGAAAAAAAAACUUGUAUGGCUUGAAACAAGCUCCGCGAUAGUGGUACAAGAAGUUUGAUUCUUUUAUGGUGAGUCAUAGCUAUAAAAAAUAACAGCUGAUUCUUGUGUGUAUGUUAAACAAUUUUCUAAUGGUAACUUCAUUAUCCUAUUAUUAUAUGUUGAUGAUAUGUUAAUUGUAGGAUAAGAUGCUAGUAUGGUUUACAGGUUGAAAGAACAAUUGUCUAAGUCUUUUGAUAUGAAAGAUUUAGGUUCAGUAAAACAGAUUCUUGGUAUGAACAUUAUCCGAGAUAAAAGAGCUAAAAAGCUAUGGUUGUCAUAGGAAAAGUAUGUUGAACGAGUGCUUGGUAGAUUUAACAUGCAACAUGCUAAAUCAGUUAGCAGUCCAAUUACCAAUCAUUUUUAUCUAAGUAAGAAAUCUUGUCCAGUGUCUAAGGAAGAGUAACUAGCUAUGUCUAGUAUUCCUUAUUCUUCUGCGGUUGGUUCUUUAAUGUAUCUUAUGGUUUGUACAAGGCCUGAAAUUACUCAUGUAAUUAGUGUAGUGAGCAUAUUUCUUUCUAAUUCGAAAAAAAGUUCAUUGAAAAGUAGUGAAAUUGAUUUUUAGAUAUUUGAGAGGUACCUUAAAAAUGUGCUUGACUUAUAAAGUUUCACAACCAGUUUUAGAAGGGUUUACGAAUGCUGAUAUGGCAGACGAUCUUGAUGGUAGAAAAUCUACUUCAGGGUAUUUGUUCACUUUUACAGGAAGAAUUGUAUCUUGGCAAUCUAAGUUACAGAAGUGUGUUGCUUUAUCAAUUACAGAGAUUGAGUAUAUUACAGUAAUUAAAGCAUGUAAAAAAAUGCUUUGGAUGAAACGUUUUCUUUUUGAAUUGAGGUUGAAUCAGAAAGAGUAUGUGAUAUUUUGUGAUAACCAGAGUACUUUAGAUUUGAGUAAGAAUACCAUGUACCAUGCUAGAACAAAGCACAUUGAUGUUAGAUAUCAUUGGUUAUGUUCAGUGAUUGAAGAACAACGAUGCUAUUGAAGAAAGUUCAUACUGAUAAGAAUAUAGUAGAUAUGUUGACUAAGAUACUUCCAAGAAAAAAGCUUGAGCUUUGCAGUAACUUGGCCGGAAUGAGUUCCCUGGCCAAGGUAAGUUCCAAAUGAAACUGCUAUGGUGAUGAAUCUCCUUUUAAUGGGGCUGGAUGGGGAGAUUGUUAUGAAAAUGGGGUCCAACCUCAUGUAAGUGAUUUUGGACCAAGUAAAGGCCAUAGGCCUUGAUCUUUCAUUUUACAUAGAGUCCUAGCUACUUAAUAAAAAAGAGGUGGGGUUGUUUUAAGUGGGUGGCAAAAACCAAGUAGAGAAAGAAGAAAAGCCAAAAAAAAUAGAGAGAAAAAAGAGAAUGGAGAGUUGGUUGAACGAAAAUCGAUCCGUGGUCCGAUUGAGUUGGAACAUUGUCAAGAGAUUUAUGAUUAAGAGUUCUACAUUCUGAACAGUGAAGAUCGGGUUUGAAGCUCUCUAGGAACAAAUUCAUGAUAUAUUUGUUGAGUCACUUAUUUGGUAAAAUUUCUCAAAUUAUUUCUCUAGUUGUUGAUUAGCUCUAGUUUUAGCUAGAGAAGAACUUUGUAUAUUUAUUAUUUGAUAGUGAAGAUUUUUUUGGUGGUCCGUGAUUUUUUUCCUCUACACUAGAGGGUUUUUUACGUAAAUCUUGGUGUGCUUUAUUUUUUCUAUAUUUUUUUAUUAUUGAUUAUUAUUUAUUGCUUUUGUAUUGUUGUGAUUAUUGCUUCAGGCGUAACGAAAUUUGUCAAAACCCGACUUUCUUCUUUGUCAAAUCUAGACAUCUUGUCUUUGGUCCAAAUAAAAGGAUUACCCUGCUUUCAAAUACCUAACCUUUCAUAUCUCCACUUUCCGAUUACUAAUAAUAUGGGAUAUAGUAAUACAGUUUAUAAGUUAAUAGUAAUAAUUAAGCGGUGUUUUUCUCUUCAUAUCUCCUCUUUCCUUCGAAGGGAUAUUUGAAAGUAUGGAGGUACAUAACUGGAAAUAAGAAGAGUUCAUCUUGUAUGUAUGAUCCAGAAUCGAUGAAGACACUCAACCUUAAAAAAAAAAAAAAUGAGGUGCUGGCCUGCUGGUGAUCAGAUAAGAACAUUUUGCACGUUGUUAUCAGCAAAUAGAACGUGCCCAUGGUUGUCACUUGUCAGAAUCUUGAUGAAGUGGCAGAUAAACUUCCACUUGGAACGUGAUGCGUUUACAAAUUUUCUCGGAAGGGGAUAUCUUUUUUUUUUCUUUUCAAUUUCUAACUAACAGGGUUUUAUCAAUGAAAAUGUGGCAUAUUGUAGUUGCAGAUCAUGUCUCAUUAAGACAAUUUCAAAGCCAGAUAAGUAAAGAAAGGAAAAUCAUACUGGAAUUAUACAAGUCGUAAUGACAGAAUAUUACUUGUUAGAAUUAAUUUCAAUCAAAUUUUGGUUAUAAUCAAAAGUCAAAAUAGAGAUAUGACUUCACAAAAACGAUCUAACAAUUUGAUACGACACUGCUACGUGUUUGCGUUUGUAACAUCCUUUAAAAUGUCGUCUCUGUUAGUUUAUUGCAACGUCAAUAACUUAAAUUUGGUUUGACGAUUACCUACUUCUCUCGCCUUUCUCCAAUCUAAUAGAUAAAUAGUAGAAGUGCCGACUCCUUUUGAACUGUUGAUGUUGGCAUAUGGUUUUAUAGUUUUCUCCUUUACGCUUUCCACUCCAUGCACUAAUUAUGACCAAAUAGUCAAAAACAUACCUAUAGAUAUCUAUCUGCAUGUUUUGGAAGACUAAAGAAUAUUUAUUUGUCUUAAAAAAAAUUUACUAGCUGUUGUGUGUGAAAAGAGAGUUGCGAAGGCGUCGGUAAUAAUUUUAGGGUUGGGAUGGGUAAAUUAUAGGUUUAGAUAAUUUUUUAUUUUUGAGAAUCUAAUUACGAAAAGUUAUGAUUUGAUCAUUAAAAUUUAUGAAAAAUUUUUUUAUCAUUCAAUUAUUAGAAAUUAAUUAACGAAAUGUUGACAUAAUAUUAUGGUAUCAUUUGUCAAAAUGUCGUAUAAUAUUGCUUUGACAUUCGAUAUAUCAUAUGACACUAUUUGCGUAGCAUAAUAAGUUUUGAAAAUUAAACAAGAUAAAUUACAUUUUUAAUCUCUUAACUUUUUGAAAGUUUUUAUUGUUUUAAUCCAACUUUGAAAACUUUACAAUUUGAUUAUUAAUGUUUUUGAAAUUAUUCAUAUUUUUAAUAUUUUGUUACAUGAAAGUAAUGCUACAAAUUUUUAUUUUUAUUAGGAUGUUGUCGUUAUAAAAUAUUUAAUAUUUAAUAUUUAAUAUUUCAUUUAAGUUUUCUUGAUUGGUUAAUGUAAUAUAUUAAAAUACUUAAAUUUAUUUGAGUGAGCUGGAUGACAAAUACUUUUAAGUAAUGCUAAUCAAGUAAAUUUAGCAAUUGGCUUUAAUCAUAUUCUUUUUAAAUUUAAAGGGUAUAAUAAUUUUAAUUUUAUGCACUAAAAAUAUUGAUUGCUCAUUUUUUUAAUAAAGUUCAAAACUUUAUUUGAAUAUUAUCUUAGUAUCUUUCAAUAUAGAUAACAAAAAUAACAUAACAAUUUAUUAUUUUAAUAAAAAAUUGUUGAUUAAAUUGUUAUAAAGUCAUGUGACAAUGAGACAUUGAAAAAUUUUUCAGGAGCAUGUCAACUACAAUUGGGUGACCAAAAAUAAAUUCAUAAAGCUAAUAACUAAAUUUUAACUUUUCAUAAUUAAUGAUCAAAAUAAAAAAUCGUCUAAAGGUGAAUGAUUAAAAGUGUAAUAUAUUAUCGUUAAAAAAUACGUGUUAACCCUUCAAAAAAAUUGUUAAUUGGCAUAUACAUGAUAUUGUAAUAUUGUAAUUAAUAUGAAUUAAUUAAAUAUUUAUUUAUUCAAAAAAAUCACCUACAAAGUCUUUAUAAGCAAACAUCUAAAUAAUUAAUAAUGUCAUAUUUUAAUUUGAAUAUCUCGAUUUCAAAUCAUAUAAAUAAAGAAUUUGUAGAAUGCGAAAAAAAAUACCUUUUUUUUUUAUAAAUUAUUAUAUGUUAAAAUUAAAAUAUUGAACAAAUAACUGAGUAAUUGAAAAACAUGGUAAAAUUUUCAAAAUUUUCAACCCAUUUAUCGGAAAAAAAAAAGUUGUAACCCUUAUUUUUGGUAACCCCUACGAGGUUAUAACUUUAGGUAAAUGUAUAUAGGAAAUUUCCGAAAUCCCUAAUAAAAAACAGAUUAGAUUCACUGGAUUUUAUUUUAAGAAAAAGUUUAGGUAAUGUCACAUAAGAUAAUAUUUUACUUUUUUUAUAAUUAAAAUUAUCAAAAUUUAAAUUUGAUUAUUGAUCGCAGCACUAACUAUUUUGUCUAUCUCUUCCCCAGACGGCUCUUUAAUUCCUUCUCCUUAAUAAUUUUAUUUCAUCUUUCAAUUUUGCCAUUAACAUUUACGUCCCCACCAACAAAACCCAAACAACAAAAAAAGGAGCGAAAGAUUUCUUGGAGGUUGGUUCAAUCUUGAUUCCCGUUCCCUCUAGAAUUAAUUAUGGAAGAAACAGAGAACCCUGGCUUUGUUUUUACCGGAAAGAAGAGAGCUGCAGGGGCUGAUGGAUUUGACGGGGAUGAUCUUUUCGUGGCCAAGACAUCAACCCUAGCACCAGCAUGGGAAAAUGACCCUGCCGCUGCAUUAGCCAGCGCGCGCCAUGAAUUCGGUGAGCAUGGUGGCGUUAACAUGUCUAUUGAGGCCUCCGCCACAUUCACCGUCAUGGAACCUGAGACCAUGCGCCGCAUGUUUGCUGGUGAACUCGGCCCUGAUCGUGAUUUCUUCAUUUAUAGCCGUCACUUCAAUCCCACUGUCUUAAAUCUCGGUCGUCAGAUGGCAGCCAUGGAAGGAACCGAAGCUGCCUAUUGCACUGCCAGCGGUAAUUAAUUUUUCUGUUUCACUUUCACUUUUUAUUUCACACGUAAAAAUCUAAAAAACAUUAUUAUCAAAACCUUCAAUUUGAUGGUUAAUAAUUUGAUUUCGUGAUUACAGGUAUGUCUGCUAUUUCAUCCGUGCUGUUGCAGCUCUGCAGCAGCGGUGGACACGUGGUGGCAUCGAGGACUCUCUACGGCGGGACCUAUGCACUCCUAACCCAUUUCUUGCCCAGAGCCUGUAACAUCACGACCACGUUCGUGGACAUAUGCGAUCACGAAGCGGUGAAAAAUGCCAUCGUCGAAGGACGGACCAAAGUUUUGUACUUCGAGUCCAUGUCGAACCCUACACUCGCUGUAGCCAACAUUCCGGAGCUAAGCAGGCUAGCACACGACAAAGGAACCAUGGUGGUUGUAGACAACACCUUCGCUCCCAUGGUUCUUUCCCCUGCUCGGCUUGGUGCUGAUGUGGUUCUCCAUAGUAUCUCCAAGUUCAUCAGUGGUGGGGCCGAUGUUAUUGCAGGUUUGUUUGUCUCUUUUUUGUCAUUUACCGUACACGAGUCACACAUUAUUAGGUUGGAAAAAGAGCCAUCAAUUACGUGUAAUCUUCUGAUUAAUCAAGUUAAAUGGUUGAAUCUAGGAAUUGACUUCAGAGUUUCGAUGAAAAUUGGCUUUUUCCAAAAAAAAAGAAAAGAAGAAAAAAAAAUACUACCAUGAAUUGAGGAUUCUUAAUCAUAAAAUAAAAUGGGAAAUGAAUAUAGUCUACCAUAGUCCAAAAGUUUCGUUUUCUAGCUAUCUUUUUUAUGGUUGAUAAGGCUAUUCUCCUGCAAUUUCUCUAAUUUUUCAGUUUUUCACCGAUAAGAUCAUUAUCUUGAGGUGUGCGUUUCGAUCCUCCGUUUCCUCUUAUGGAUAAGCGUUCAUGUGAAGUGUUUUGUAUUUUUUAUUUUUCUGAUAAAUUCUGUAUACCAACUUAAAGUUUCAGGGCCUUAAAUUUGACAUUUCUAGUUGAAAAGUUAUAUAUCCCUUCUACAAAAGUUUUUAAUAAUCUUUUGCCCUAAUGUUGUUACCUUGCUAACUUCUAGGCAAAGCUAGAUUGCCAAAAACAUUAGUUCUUGUGAAAUAUAAAUGCUUUUUUAGUCAGUUUAUUGAUAUUGGAAUAUAGUAACUAUUAUUGACCGAGAAUCCUGGAAGUGUAGAUAUGCAUUUUGUUAAUCCAAUAAAAUGAGAAAUUUCAGGUGCUGUUUGUGGUCCUGCAAGCCUGAUGAACUCCAUGAUGGACCUUCAUCAAGGUGCUUUGAUGCUCCUAGGCCCGACCAUGAACGCCAAGGUUGCCUUUGAACUCUCUGAAAGGAUACCUCACUUGGGCCUAAGAAUGAAGGAGCACUGCCACAGAGCCAUGGAUUAUGCGACUAGAAUGAAGAAAUUGGGACUCAGGGUCAUCUACCCGGGCCUUGAGGAUCACCCUCAACACGAGCUAUUGAAGUCCAUGGCCAACAAGGAAUAUGGGUUUGGUGGUCUUCUUUGUGUUGACAUGGAAUCUGAAGAAAGAGCUAACAGGCUGAUGCACC
rnacentral:lncRNA from 1 species